GGUGGAGCUGCAGGUGCCCGACGACGUGUACAUCCUGGACCAGGCCGAGGAGGAAGGGAUCGACCUCCCCUUCUCCUGCCGCGCGGGGUCCUGCUCCUCCUGCGCCGGCAAGGUCGUCUCCGGCACCGUCGACCAGUCCGACCAGAGCUUCCUCGACGACGCCCAGGUCGAAGGCGGCUGGGUGCUCACCUGCGCCGCCUACCCCACCUCCGACGUCGUCAUCGAGACGCACAAGGAGGAGGACCUCGUCGGCUAAUAAGCAGCCGCAUGCCAUGCACACCACACACCACACGAUCUGUAUGGGCCAAGCAAGCUAGCUAGCUACCAUGCCAUGCAUCCAUCCAUGACAGCAGCACAGCUCCAUGCAUCAUCAUCUGUUAUACUACUCUCUUAUUUAUAAUCCAAUUUUACUUCGGAUGCAUGAUAUGAUAUAUGAGUUUCACUAUGCUCAAGCAAAUCAAAUAAUAAUGUUUUUUUUUCUCUCCUCUUCAUUCAGUUUUAUUUGUGCUAGCUACUAUAUAUAUACUACAUAUACUUAACUGAACUUACCAAAAUUCAGUCUCUAAUCCCUGAACCUCCUAUACUCAUACGAGUUAUAAUAACACACUGUUAGCUAGCAGACUAGAUCGUAGAGGAUGAAUUUGGGAAGAACAAAUAGGUAGGAAGCAUAACAAUGCAAGGUAGGAGAGAACAGAGGAUAGUAUUGUUCAGCUCUCAAUCUCCCUUUAUACAUAGCAUUGCCUUAGCGUGAACCCACAGGCGCAGCUAUGUCUAGCCUAUAUAUGGUUCACGCCCACUCGGGACCAUGUUCUUCGCGCGCCUGGCUCAGAUGUCUGGUUCGGGUGCGCCUAGUUCACUGGUCACCGUGUCGCGCUCUGGUUCAGCCUUAUGUACGUGUUGGCCCUUCCACACACUUGGAGUUCAAUUUCUAGAAAAAUCGAAGCGCAUGGAUGUGAUCAUAUGAGACACAAAUCUAUAUAUGACUUCAUCCUUCAAUGAACAGUCAUGACUCAUGGCCUCCACACGCACAAUAACCAAUCAUCAUCAGUGGCCAUCAAUUGGUUUCCACAUUUUAUUUUCCAUGAGUGUGAGUCACUACUUUUGCUCUCAGUAAGUAAUUAAAUAGAAUGUGAAUUUCCGCCCCAUUAAUUCCCGUGAUGAUGAUGUUGAGGGCCGGUAAAAUUCAUGGCCAAAAUUGUUGAGGACGUACGUGAUCAAACAAGGAGAGGUUGGAGUUGGCCCCGCCAAGAAGAUAAGCCUACACGCUGGACUCACGCCAUCCCUUCGUUUCCAUCUCAUCUCUCUAUCUAACUCCAGCAGCCAGCCGCUAGUAGCUCGUCCAAAGCAAGCAGGCACACACACACACACACACACACGCUCCAGCCUCUCCUCGGCACCCACAACGACAUACAAUGGCCACCGUCCUGAGCAGCCUCCGCGCGCCGGCGGCCUUCUCCGUCCUCCGCGUUGCGCCGGCGCCGGCGCCCCCCGCCACCGUCGCGCUGCCGGCGACCGUGGCCCGCGGCGCCAGGCUGCGGGCGCAGGCCACCUACACCGUGAAGCUGGUCACGCCUGAGGGGGAGGUGGAGCUGAAGGUGCCCGACGACGUGUACAUCCUGGACCAGGCCGAGGAGGAAGGCAUCGAGCUGCCCUACUCCUGCCGCGCGGGCUCCUGCUCCUCCUGCGCCGGCAAGGUCGUCGCCGGCACCGUCGACCAGUCCGACCAGAGCUUCCUCGACGACGACCAGAUCGCCAGCGGCUGGGUGCUCACCUGCGCCGCCUACCCCACCUCCGACGUCGUCAUCGCCACGCACUUGGAGGACGAGCUCACCGCCGGCUCCUAAUCAUGCAUGCUUAUCUCUGUUCGUUAUUAGCUUCUUAUUCUUUACGCUCGUUACCUACUGCUUGUUGCUUUGCAAUUGCAAUUAUCUUAUUCAUCAUGUAAGCGUUGAGUUUUCAUCCGUGGAUCGAGAGACUCCCUACCAACCUUAUCUCUUCUUCGUCACGCCAAACGUCCUCGCACGUCGCGAUGUAGACACGGCCCGAUCUUUUCAUUGGUAGAGAACUCUGACAUUUACGAUCUUUGGAACUAAGUUUGAUUAUAUUCAGACCCCACAACCAAUACAUCACUGCUCCCCGUUGGUUAUCAGCCACACACAAUGUGAUUGAUUUGCCGAGAAGGCUUCCUACGAGCGAAUCGAGAACUCAAGUAAGAGCGGGGUGAACAUAAUCUUAAAUUGUAAGUAUGAAUGAAGUAUAUGAAUUUGAUAAGAGAUUCAAAUCUUGAUUCAAAAAGACUAGUCGACAAAGGCAAACAAGAUCAACAUUAGGGGCCCUGGUUCACAACUGUCGAUCUUGAUGAUACAAGUUCAACGAACAAUGCAGCAAACAAUAUAUGUUUCACAACAAAACAAGAACACAAUGAAACCCAACAACCCUAACGGGAGAAACAACGACUAAUUAAAGGGUCUUGGGCGUCAUCACCUCUAGAUGCACCCCCUAACACGAUCCACAGCCAACGAACCAAACAACAAUGUCGCAGCACAGUGGCAAAUUAUGGACAUUGACUUAUUUUGACGAUUCUUGUUGACUCAGGACGAAUCAAAAGCCAUUGGUUAGCUUAUUAAUUAUCUUUCCAUGCAUAUAUUGAUCGUCAAGAAUGGAGUAUGUAUACACUCUCGGGACUGGUCCUAAAAUCCGACAUUGAUUCCAACUUUAGUCGGACUAGGACUCGACCAUAAUGUGGAUGAGUUGGACGCCCACACUAGUCCUCCUAGUCUCUUUGGAUUGUACAUGAAGUAGUGAUGUCAUCAUCACACCCCUCUCUCCAUUGCUGCCCCCGUACACCACCGCCACUUGUUGCCCACUUCGGCGCCGGUGUCGCAUGUUCCUCGCACCACCACCGCCCGCUUGUCCCUACCUCCCCAUAGCAGUGAGGAGGUCACCGUAGCCACCAUGACCCCAUGACCUCCAAGGAGCUCUCAUUUGUGCAUCCAUGACCUCUUGCGUGAGGAGGAGCCCACCCUCUAAUUUGCUGCAAGAUUCGACUCAGUGGUGCGAGCCUGUUUGCUGGUCUGAAAAACCAUGGUUGAAAAUACUGUUCGUUGAUUUAUUGUGAGAGAAAAACACUCAUGGCUGGCAGAAAAAGUACGACUUACAAGACAAGUAGGCUCUUCACAAGAUCCCACGCCUCUUGAUGAGCUGUCUGUGGGCCUCGACCACACCAUUGACAACUCUCAUGCAGCCGCUCCCGUGUCUCUGACGACUCUGAUUGCUUUAGAAGAGCGACAGGGUGCACAAGCGGCUGCCCCUUCCACUCCAUUUGUAGGGAUGGGGCAUCCUGCGUCCCCCAAUAUGAAGGAAUACACCCUCGGUAUCCCGGUUCACUCUUUGACCCUGAAUCAAUCGUCGUCUAAAAUAGUAUGGACACACAUCCAACAUCACUCAACUCUCAAUCCAAACGCACAAUAUAUGUUCAGACAUGGUGUGGAGGUCAAUCCUAAAUGAAUUGGAAUUUAUGUCAUCAUAAUUGAUAAAACUACAAACCUCCUAUACCCAUAUAAGUUAGACCAGCUUAUAUCCUGGCACAAUACAGAAAUCGAUUCUCAUGCAAAUUAUUAGAACUAUAUAGAUGGCCAGAGUACACCCAGUCAUGACUUGUGGCUGCCACACGCACAAUAACCAAUCUGUGGCCAUCAAUUGGUCUCCACAGAUUAUUUUUCAUGUAUUGAGAGUCACCACUUUAUUUGCUCUGUAUAAUAAAUAUAUUUUUUGUAUCCUAAAAUAAGUGCACAUUUUGUACUUCGAAGAGUAAAAUAUUAUCAAAUUUAACUAGAGUUUUUUUUUUAAAAAAAAAUAUUAACAUCUGUACCUUUUAAUAAGUUUACUAUGAAAAAUACAUGAUGAGAUUUAUCUAUCCAAUGAUGUUUGUUUGAGAUCAUAAUCAUUAAAACUUUUUUGUAUGUAUUUAGUCAAACCUAAAAUUUGUUGAUGUGCACUAUAUAUUUUAGGGUGAAGGGAGUACAUACACUGUUCGUUAUUCACAUCACACACACAGUUUCUGGUGAUGUUGAGGGCCGGUAAAAUUGGUGGCCAAAAAUUGUUGGGGACGUUAUCACAUGAAAGGUUAGAGUAGGUCCGUUGUGCUUCCGGCCCCACCAAAAAGAUAAGCCUAACACGCUGCACUCGCGCCAUCCCUUCGUUUAUCUAUGUAUGUAUAUCUGCCGCCUCCUCCUCCUCCGACCCAACAACAACUCCAGCACACACACACACACACACGUAUACAGCCUCUCUUAGCUUAGCAGCUCCAGCACCGGCCGGCCGGCACCACAACAAUGGCCACCGUCCUGAGCAGCCUCCGCGCGCCGGCCUCGACCUUCCCCUCCUCUCUCCGCGUCGCGGCAGCACCGGCGGCGCCGGCCACCGUGGCGCUGCUGCCUGCGGCGGGCAACAAGGUACCGGGCAUGGCCGCCCGUGGCGCCAGGCUGCGCGCGCAGGCCACCUACAACGUGAAGCUCGUGACGCCGGAGGGGGAGGUGGAGCUGCAGUGUCCCGACGACGUGUACAUCCUGGACCAGGCCCAGGAGGAAGGCAUCGACCUGCCCUACUCCUGCCGCGCGGGGUCCUGCUCCUCCUGCGCCGGCAAGGUCGUCGCCGGCAGCGUCGACCAGUCAGACCAGAGCUUCCUCGACGACGACCAGAUCGCCGCCGGAUGGGUGCUCACCUGCCACGCCUACCCCACCUCCGACGUCGUCAUCGCCACGCACUUGGAGGACGAGCUCACCGGCUAAUCAUCAUGUGUUACAUAUGCAUGCAUGAUUGAUUAAGCGCGCGCGUAGUACUGCUGUUGUUUGUUGGUUUUGCAUGCAACUCAUGUAAGCGUGGAGUUUUCAACCGAUCGAUCCGUGGAGAGAGAGAGGCCCUAUUACAUACCUUGUGCGUGUAUGCUUAUUAUAUUUGCCGUACGUGUUGAGUUGUUGUUAAUUAAUAUAUGGCCUAAUUGUAAUCUUGUUUUAUAAUUUGCUAUUUUGUUUCUUUUCGAUCUGUUUAUAUAUAAGCAAAAUGACUGGUUAUAUAUUGAAUGUCUUGAAGUCACCAAUAUAUCAAGUUGUUUCAUUCGUUUCUUAAUUAGUCAUACAGCUCCCAAAUUUCAGACUGGUUAUUAUUGAAUGUCUUGAAGUGUAACACCAUAAAUUUUGCUUCUUUGAAAAUAGAGCUAAAAUAAUUUAUUUUGUAUUUCUGUGCUCAUGAAAAUAUAGUAAAAUGAUUUUUUCCUUAAAUUAAAAUUCAUCAUAGGGUUUAGCAACGUUGUUGUGCAUACAUGCUGGUACAUAUGUUUUAUGUAAUGUUUGAUUGUUACUCCUUUGUGUGUUGAGAGUGAGCAAAGUUUUUGAAAUGUGUUUAGUAGAUCGAUCUUGAUCGGUACAUCUUUAUCUUUAUCUACAACCAAAUUCCUUAUUUCUAAGCUCAAGUUUUUAUUAGGAGCUUCCUAAAAUCUUUUCUUUAUCACUCAAAGCACUUCUUUUAGUUCCUCGUCCAUCAAGCAAUCUCUACAAACUUUUCGAGAAUUUUUCCAGCUUCUGUUCUCACUUUUCUGUGAGCAUAAUCUAAUUUUUAGAUGCUCCAUAUUAUCUCAUCAUGAGCUCCAAAUACUUUAUUUGGGUUCCCCAUAUUCCAUAAUGUCUCUGAGAAUUUUUCUCGAAUUUUUGGAGCUUUCGGAAUAUUUUUCAUGACUUAAAUAAUGAUUCUGGAUUUUUCUAGAAUUACUUUAUCCAUGAAAUUAAUUAAUUCUGAAAAUCAUAAAACAUCUAUUCCUUUUAAUGCUCAAAUAUCAUGUGUAAUAAUUAUAAUAAAUCCCAAAGACCAUGUCUUUAUUUAUUAAUUGGCUUUAAUGUUUAUUUAGACCCAUUAGUAAAGGUGGAAGGUGCAACAUCAAUUAGUACCAUAUUGAUAGUUGAUGUAAAUGUGGAGAGUUUUUCUCCCUAUAUAUAUGUACUAACCCCUUAGGCCAAAGCACACCAAUAUCUACCAUAGGGGAAGUCCCUGGUUUGGGAAAUCCCUCGCGUAGUAAAUUAAAAUUUUCUUUCUUCUUGACACCGUCGGUUAACAUUGACGAUUUCUUCGGCGAGCUUCUCCAGCCAUCUCGAGUGUCUCUGAUGAGGAUCAUUAUCAUGAGGUUUGUCUCACCGUUCUCGACACCGUAGUCUUUCUUUGCAUCGAUCUAUCAUCGUUUGAACAUUUGUUUUCCAUCUUCUAUGUUUUUGCCGGUGAUCCCAACAUCUCCUUGCUGCAGCUACCUCUCCUGUCGCCGCAGUUGUUGAUGCCGUCAACGGCCCCUCCGUCUUUCUGAGUUCCGCGUAGAGGAAACAGACGUCUGUUCCGUCGAUCUUGAGCCUAUCGCCCUUCAACUUCAUCGCUGCCAUCGAUCACCAACGGUGAUGCCGUCUGCUGCUAGCCAGCGACCAGCGCUCGUCAUUCGCUUCGGCUGCACGGUGAGCAUCUGAAGGUACUCAUUCUUCUCCUAGCUGCACAAGCAACAUAGCUUCACGACCGAUGACAUGGAGCAAGUAGCCGGCCGUCCUAGCUUUCUUGAUUAGCAUGAUGACAUCAUCAUGUUGUCAAUCUAGUAUUAUUGCCGUUCCUUUAGAAAAAAUAAAUCCAAAAAUACAAUGGAAAUACACUUGUUUCUUGAGUCUGUAUUCUCUCUAUUUUAACUCCGGUUUGAUCCGUUAAAGUGGCGCUUGAAUCAUGUCGAUACGCUCUACACAUUAGUUUUAGAGUUUGUCAUGUCACUUGAUUAUGAAUCUAAUAAUUUACGUAAUAAGUAGAUUAGUACUUAUUCAAUAGCCUUCUAAUGAAAAGCAGUAUAGGGUAAUGUCGUUGUUUUAUCUUUAAGUGUUAACUUUAUUAAAGUCCAAUGAAAUAUGUUUCAGUAUAAUAUUCUUAUACCAUGUACCAAGUUCAUUUAGAUAUUUCUACGAUCACUUGUCUUUUAUAAAGUUAAAGUUUAAUAAUUUGAUCAAUCUAUAUACAACUAGUUUUUCAAUUAAAAGCAACUUUUGCCAUCUCGGUCUUCUGUAAAUAAUUUAGUUUUAUCUUAGUUUUCCAAACCAAUUAUAAUUUGACUAAAUUUAAUUUAGAUAUAUCUCUGAAAUAUCCUAAACAUGUUUUAUAGUAAAUGAAGCUUAUAGUUUUCUUGUUUUAUAUAAUCUUUUGGUUGUUGUUUCUUUUAAACCAUAGCUACGAUUAGAGUGCUUUUCCGUCUGUGUGUUGUAGCAAUGUGUAGAUUAGUUUUCAAACCUUUUCCUUUAUUGAUUGAUGUACUGUUUUAAUUUAUUUAAAUUGCUUGCUUCGUGUAUGAUUGUGUAGAUGCUUGUGUGGUGCUUUGUGAUCAUGUCCAGUCGGUGAGCUUUACGUGGUGAUCAAGAAACAGAUCAUUGAAGGUUUGGAACUAGAAGAAGGAUCUAAGUUUAAGGCAAGUAUAGCAUGGGAUCAUCCUUGUUUCCUAAUAACUUUAAUCACGUAAUACAUAUUGCAUGUGUCUCCUUGAUAAGGAUUUCCUAGUAUUGAUCUUAUACCUUGUCACCUAUGGUUUUGCAUUAGGUAGCCUAUGCUAGUGCUCCACUAAAACCAUGAUCUUGUAAUUUGAUUAAUGGAAUAUGCAAUAAACAUUAAAAGAUGACUUUUUAGCAACUUUAGAAAAGAGGGCUGGAGCAUUGGGCUAUCUUAUGGUGCUCUAGUUUCUCUCCAUAAGGACUUAUCUGUAUCUGACCAUCCGGGACAUACAGUACAACUGUGAGGGCUACAUGGCUCUGGCUUUAGCUCAGUAUGAGGACCUUUUCUAGCUUGUUAGUGGUUACCCGUGUGGCGCAAAUGGAGAAUAGCAGACCGUGGAUUCCUGCGGGUGAAUCACAUGGACUGACUAAUGAAACCAAGCGGCCCUAACUUGUUAGACGAACCUUUGAAAGGCUUCAUAGUGAACCCUGCCGGCCUCCCUAGGAAGGGGUUAAGAGAUUAACUACCUCGGGCGAAAGGGUAAAUCACGACUCACAGUGAAAGUGUACAACCUCUGCAGAGUGUAAAACUGAUAUAUCAGCCGUGCUCACGGUCACGAGCGGCCUUGGACCAAUACAGAAUAAAUGAUCACUAAUGGCAAAUUAUUGAAGUUAUUGUUGUUAAUAUGUUGUUUAUGCUAUUCUUUAUUCAUUUUACCUGAUCAUGAGUUUACUAUGGGACUUGACAAGUUGAUGCUACUCAUAUGCUAAAAUUGUGACAACUAAAAGCUACAUGCAGUUAAACCAGUGUCUAGCCUUUGAGCCUCAUGAACCCCAUGUUAUUCUUGCUGAGUACGAGAUGUACUUACGCUUGCCUUUACAUUUUAUUUGGAUAAAAAUCCCGGAUGGGUACCAGAUUGCUAGUUUGGAGAAGAGUUUAGGCUUGUGCUCAACCAGUCAGUUGUCCAUGUGGAUUUGGAGGUUUCGCCUGAAGAACGGAGUGUCUUUCCGCUGUUUGCUAUCUAAGGUUAUAUCUUUUAUACUAAGUUCGUUAUAUAUAAGCAUUGACUAUUGAUAUUACCCUUAUUUGUGGCUAUAUGUGAGAUUUGACUUCCUGGUCUCACAUAUGGUGUGUAUCUGGUUUUGUUCUUAAAACCGGGUGCUACAUGAAGUCACCAAUAUCAACGUUGCUUCAAGCUCUUUGUGUGAAUAAGAGUCAGAGAAAUGGGUUAUGUAGGAAAGGCAGUCGUCCUUGGUGACGGGUGGUUCGGGUGUGUGGCAGCGACAAUCAUGGACUCAAUGGUGGGGAAGCCAUCCGAAUAGGAGUGGUGGAAAGUGUGUCUCGUGAAGUCGUUCGAGUAAAGGCAUGUUUGACGGGGCUACGUCUCCACCAAAAACAGCUUUAGCUUUGACUCCUUUGAAGGAGCAGCUUUAGAAGUAGAAUUGUUGCUGUUUUGAUAAAGUGUUUAGUAAAAUAGCUUCUUUUGAUGAUAGAUAAGGAGGAUGAAAUGUCUACAAUACCCAUGAUUUCUUUUCUUUUCCCCCUUUUUUCUACUUUAUUUUCACUUUGUUCAUCAUCUUCAUUUCGUACCCACUUGUUCUCUUCAUUCUUACUAGUAUUUGGCUAUCUCACGCUCGCGACAUGAAGGUUCCGUGUGGAUGGAAGACCGUCAGGGACGGAUCUAGUGGUGGGACGGAUGGGCUUCUAGCCUCGGCUAUGUUUGUCGGACCCAUGAAGCCUCCCCUUAGCCCCCCCAGCUAGGAACUUUUGUCAUGGAUGCAGUUUGACGAGAGACUGAAACUAUCUAGAGGUUGAAGAAGCCCCUCCUAAAUAUUUUCCUGGAUCUGUCCCUGCCGGCAGCCGCACGUGACCGUGCCCCAGAGGCCUCGACGCCCCUCAUGCCCUGGCAGUCGAGCAUCAUUGCGGUUGCACGCUUUACGCGCCCGUGUCGGCCAUGGCGCUUCCUCUUGCUUUGUCAUGCGUUGCUUGUCCCCGACAACCCCAUGCACCCAGAGCUCUAGUGACCCAUGCUCGACACCAUCCCUUAGUGACCCCACAUCUGUGACCUCGGUUAACCCAUGUCCACAUGGUGGUGGCCUCUUGCACAACCCAGUAGGGGAGAAUCCACACAAUGGCCUUUGUAGGGCCCAUGGUUGGUCAAAGCUACAUUUUUGUAGCUCCAUUCUUCUCUCUCCUCUUCUUCCAGUGGAUCUUCAGCGGUUCCUGGCAUGGAGCAGAGCAAUUUGUUGUCAUUUGGUUGGUGGCGGCACGGAGCUGGUUCAGGGGCCAUACCAAAUGGUCCCUAAAUUUAUGAUGGGUGCACUUGCAUUGUGAUGCGUAGGCUUGUGCUAUAGAAGAUAGUGAAAUUUUAGUGAUAAUAAUUGUUUUUACACUUUUGAGGGAUGCAUUUGCAUCCCUAAUCACUAUAUAGCUUCACCCCUUGUGUGUGUGAGAGAGAGAAUGAGUGAGAGAUGAGUUAGGUUUUGUGGUGAAAGGAGUUAGUGGUGAUGGUAGUUCGGGGGUAAGGUCGUGAUGAUCACAGUGGCACAAUACAUCUAAAUGGAGGAGGAGCAUGAGAGUUGGGUGAGCAGUGAGAGAAUGAGAUGCAUGGAUAAUAAUUGGAGACAUGACAAUGAGCGUGGACUUUGGUUUGGAUAUGGUUGCAUGAUUACGAGCUGAGCAACAGAGCGAGGCUCUGGUGUAUUAGGCCCACCUGUGCCGAUUAAGGACCAUCCUAUUGAUGUGGCAAGUUUGAAGGUACCGAACACAUAAAGGAGACUUAAUUACAAACUUACAGUUGACUGUAAAGUUUAGUACUUUCUUACAACUAAGAUACUUAAAAGGUUCACUGGAGUGUUUCUCUGGCCACUUUACUAGUAGUUGUUGUGGCAGGGACUAUCCACAAAAAAAACUGGGGAGGGGGGGGGGGGAGCAAUGGCGGGCCCAAGAUUUUGAGUGUGAGUAUUUAAAAUGUAAUGAGGUAUAAACUUUUUUGACAACCAAAGCCAAAUAUUUGGCAUGUAUAAUGCUGCAUAUGUAAUUGCAUAGUAAACAACAAAUAAAUAGCGCAUAACUGAGCAUGAGCACAAUUUGAGAAAGCGAGAUACCGAGAUAGAUGAAGAAUUAUAAUGGUAAGUUUUGAAAUAGGGGAAUUGUAAUAGAAGAUGUUAUAGCUUGAAACACUACAAUGAUAUAGAUCAAAUAAGAGCAACUUCGAUAGACUAGGUAAAUUUGUGAAGUCAUUAUUUAUAACUGUUGUGCUAAAGAAAGCAUUUCAACACCAUCUCUUACAGGUCAUAUUGCUAUAUGUGUUUUUCUAAUUUAAUUAGCCUCUUGUAAAACUCUAUAAUUUAGAUGAACUUUUAUUUUUUUUAUAUAGUUUAAUAUAUAAUUUUACUAAAUUUAUUUCUUGAAGUUGCUCUUAACUGUAUUUGUUUUUAGAACGAAGAAGAAACGUUACACAGUUCUGGAAACGUACGUAGGGCACGAGCGCAUGCAUGCAUGCAACUAGGGAGCGUGGCAUGUGUUGUCCAGCGCAGCACAGCAGGGGCAGUGCGGUGGCCGGGCAGCCGAUCGACGUGUCCUGCUCCUGCGCAAAGACACCGACGUACGUGUCCCGACGCGAACCUUCUUCACCGCUGCAAUCUAUAGCUAAAUACACAUAUAUAUGCACCGUAGCGGUGCAGGCAGUACUACCACUCACCCUGUCACCCAGCAAGCUACUUCAAUUCCGUUCCGUCGUCGUCUCGUGAUCGAAGAUCUCGUCGUCGUCGAUCGAUGGCGCAUAGCAAGCGCGAGAUAAAGCCCGGGAGGGCGCACACCAAGGUGGCCGGCGACGACGAGAUGCUGCGGACGGGCUUCUACGACGGCACCCCGCUGGAGGGCGGCAAGAUCGCCGACUCCAAGCCCGUCGACCUCUUCGCCGCCGCACGCCGCGUCGCCGAUCAGGCCGUCGAUCCGGACUCGCAGCAGCAGCAGCAGCAACAAGAAGCAGACGACGAGGGGACGACCAACAAGAACAAGAACGUCAUCGCGGACAACCCUGCUGCGACGGCGACGGAGCAGCCGGGCCGCCGACAGGGCGUGGCCGAGCCUCCCACCGGUGGACGUCGCUUGGGAGUGGGACGCCCGGCUUAAUUAUGUGUCGUUUUUGUCGUUUCCAUUUUCUUUCAUAUAUGCAGAUGAUGCAGGGUUUAAUUUGCCACCGAACUUUUAUACAUGCAGUCGUACUACGGUGAUGAACAACUAUGUAUGUAUAUAUGUAUAUUAGCAAGCUGCUAGCUAGAGAGAAUAAACUAAUAAAGGCGGUCGUCACCCAUUAGGGCAGUCAAUGGGGUUUCAUUAGAGUUUCAUGCAUAUUAAAUAUGAUGAUGUGGCGCUAUAUUAAUGAAGAGAGAUGAUAAGAGUUUCAUAGGAGUAGAGAGAGUUUCAUUUCAUCCCUAUGAAACUUCUAUGUACAGUUUUCAAAAUAUUGAUGUGUUGGAAACUGUGUCAUGAAACUGCCAUUGAGGAUGACCUAGCUUACACCACGAGUCUGUCUAUUCAAGAACCGGUUGUUUGUGGCCUGGGCAACAACCGGUUGUUGUGCAGCAACAAAACAACCAGAUAUAUAGCCACAUCAAAUCUGGUUGUUUUGGGUCAAUGAAACAACCGGAUUUUCUAACCCUCAGAUUGAAAUCUAAUGGUCCAAAACAAAUACAAAACAAAAUACAAAAAAUGAUGAUACAAAUAUAGCAAAUAUUUUCUAUUGAAUUCAAAAAACAAAUAAUACAAAGGACAUAUGCUACAAAUAUAACAAAUAUUUUCUAUUGAAGUCAAAACCAAAAAUACAAAAAAUUACACAAACUUUACAAAUGCAAAAAACAAAAAAGGGCAAGUUACAGUCACUUAGCCUGAAAAAAAAUUACACUAGGACUAUGAAGAAAUUACAUUGAGUACAAUUAUGUAAAAAAAAUAAUGAUCAAAUAUAAAUAAACCUAAACUAUACAGAAAAUGUGAAAAGAAAAGGAUGGGAGCUUACUAGUGAAUUAAAACUGAGAAGGCCCAAAACAAAGCCCACAAGACAAAAUAACAACUCCUUAGUCAAAGCCUAAACUUUUACACAAACCACCUAGCACCUGUUAAAUAAAAAAGCCCAACUGAGGAUAUUCAUAUGUCCAAAGCCCAACUAAGAUAGUAUAGAGCACUUAAACCAGAAAACAAAAUAAACCAAGGAUCCAAACAUAAAAGUAGGAAACUUGCCAACCAAGAAGGUCAGAACGAAUCUGGUAGACCACCUGUCCAGAUCUGUCUACAAGAAGGCCUUGCUACCUCUACAGAUCUGUCUACAAGAAGGUCAUGACAAUGGAAACUUACCUGAACUACUAGACCACCCGUCCAGAUCUGUCUACAGGAAUCGAAAGAAGCAGGGGCAAUGCAACCUCCAGACGAACCCUGGCAGCAAGGAAGGGAUAAAGGACAAAAAACACAGGUAAGAACCAAAUUCAAUCACAUAGAACUAGAAAUAAUACAUCUCCAACAAAUUAAGUUGCAUUAUCUCCACCAGUUUUCAGAAAACUAAGCCAAAAACUGAUAGAAUUUGAAAUACUAAGCCAAAAUAGUGAAUUACUCAUUGAACUUACAAUUUCUUAUUUGUUAAUUGCAGGAAGAUACAGACAGAGGCAAAUUACCAGCAACAUAUUUGGAAGGAAACCUGAAUGAGGUAACUAACAAACCUAACUAAAAUAACAAUUGAAAAUACUACAUCAAAUUCUUAUUGAAUUACUCAUUAAAUCUCACCUUGUAGUAGCAUGUGUUGUCAAAGGGAAGCAAAGGUCUGUAACCAUAAACACCAGGGGAUUUGAUAUCAAGAUUAGCAUAAAACUUAAUCAAAUCACCCUUCCACACACAUAUUCGAGGAAUAGAAUCUACAAGUUGCCUCUGACCGAAAUCAAUAUGAUCCAGGUAAACAACCUUAAAAAAAAUUAAACAAUUAUAUUACAGUGAAGAACUAUUAAAACAAGCAACAAAUAACAACAAAAAAUAUAAAAUCAAUUACUAAAUACAAACAACCUAGAAAUAAAUGACCAGACAACUUAUAAGUUAAAAAGCCAUAACCAAACCAUGAACAAAAUAUAUAAUGCAGAAUUAGAUAAAAAAUAUUCAAAACAAUAAAAUACAGAAACCAUAUUUAUAGUUGCAAAAACUAAACUUACCGCAAGGUAAUACAAACAGCCACCAAGACCCAAACAACGCUUUGCUUUAGCAUCUUUACCACCAUUGAAUGCCUUCACAUGCUCAAGUAACCACUGAAGCACAUAAGCACACCACUUGAAAUCCUUAAUGUGAUCAACAUCUUCAAAUAUACCAAAGUACUUUGGACUGGGAAUGGUGUUCGUAUUGGGGCACAAGAAACUGCUCAAAGCAACUAUCAUGAAACAGAUAAACACAUCCUCAUCUGACAAAUCAUCCUUCUUGAUCAAUUUAUCAGCAAAGAAAGAUACCGGCGGAAUCUUAGACUUCCCAAACUUUGAUAAAAUAAAAUCCUUGCCAACACUAGGAUCAGAAGGGAAAGGCCUUGUACCAAUAGGAAGAUCAAGAACCAGAUGAACAGAUUCUUCAGUCAAUGAGAUUACCUUUCCAUCAUGAACUAUAUCACCAGACUUGGAAUCCACCAAAUUUGCAACCCACUUAGCCAAACUAUUGGGCACAAAGCAUUUAUCAAACAGCAACAAUGAACCAAACCCAUAGCUAGCAAUAACAUCCUUCUUCUCAGGAGACAAAGAGGAGAUUACAUUCAUAAAAGCUGUGGCAGAAAACCUUGUGAAACCAGCCUUAGACUUCUUUACAGAUUUCACCUUCUUAGCCUACAAUUUUAUUCAUAAAAUUUAGAAAACAAGAAAUGAAUGUAACCUAAAAUGCACAAACAUAAAUAAAAAGAACAGAUACUAACCUUAUGCCUCAAUGCCAUUUUUAGCCUUCUCUUCAUAAUUCUAAACUUUUCAUACUGAACAAAGAAUAAAUUAAUUUAGUAAAUAAAAGCACUAAAAUAUAACUACAAAGGAAAAAAACGGAAGGAAAAAAAAACCAUACAUCCUUCAAACAGUCCUCAUACAGAUGUCGAUCAAAACUUGAAUUAUCACUAGAAGAAUCACCCUGCAAGCAACAUAAAUAGAAGUAAGUUUUUAAAAUAGUAUACAUAUACAUCUAAAAAAAGAAAUACAAAUAGAACACUAACAUCAGAAACAUCCAUAGCAUCCGAAGAAGUCUGAAAUGAAUCAUAAUCCAUAAAAUUUGGUUGAGAACACUGCACAUCAUUCAAAUCUUCAUUCUCAGAAAUAUCAGGACUAGAUAUAUCAACAACACCACGAGGCCUUUUUCGAACCAUCUAAAAAUUAUGGAAAAAAACACAUGUCAGCUGCCUUUCAUUGCAAAAAGUUCAAGACCUAACCACAAUUCAAAAGGUGUACCCCUAUUUACUUAUAACAAUCAAAUACUAAAAUUACAGUAAAAUAAGAAAAAAAUUACAUUGACUACUAGCAUGUAAAAACAGUAAUAUCACAAUAUCAGCUAACAAAAAACAUAGGUCAUGCAACUAUAAAUACCUUUAACUAACAAAGUAUACACCAAAAGUACUAUACAACAGUAAGAAUCACGAAAAAUAUUGAUACAAAAAUACGCUACUAUAAAUUUACUAAAGAUUACACAUGUCAUAACUUCCAAAAAAACAUUAAAACUGCACAAUGCAUACUAAAAGAGCACAAUUGAUAUACAAAACAGCCAGGUAUAAAAAAAAACCUACAAUUCAUUUCAUACAUAAAACAUAUUAAAAUCAUAUCCACAACUCUACAUGCUCAAUUAACAUUUGGCAAAACAAAAUAAAAGAACCAUAAUAGUUCACGAUGAUUCCAAAAGUGCAGCGUCAUUAUAUAUUAUAAAAAAAAAGAAAAAAAAAGCACAACGUCCUGUCCCCAUAAUUACUCCCGUCCACCUCCUACUCGUCUAGUCACCGUCACCAGAGCAGCGCUCCUCGCCAUGCACAGGCUCCACAGUGGACCGAGGCGUACCGAACUUCCUGGGACCUGGUCCCCGGCCGCUGCGAGCCUGCGACCAGAUCUGCCGUCGUGAGCCAUGCGCACGGCGCACCACACGGAGUGGCGCAUGGCCUGCCUGACUGAGCGACUGACCGUAGUGCAGCAAGCAGCGGGCCGUUGGCCGUCCGCGCAGCGCACUCGCGCUCGAUCGGAGAGAAUCGCAAAAAACAGAGUAAAUAGAGAAGAACGCCGAGCCGCACAGAUGAACGACAAACAACAGAUAUCGAAAUCGUUGGACAAAAACUUGAGGAAAUGAAGCACAAUAAGCAUACCUCUCCAAACCCUAGGAGUCGCCAAUGGCGGAGAGAGCCAAAUCGCCAGGAAGAAGACGAAGCGAAAUGGGGAAAGGGGAAACGGCAGCGAAUAAAUGAGCGCGACUCCCAAAAAAUUAAACAGUGCGGCGCCGACAACUGGACCCCACAUGUCAGCAUCACAUAUCCAACAAGGACAGACCAAACAAACGGAAAAAAUAUCAGAAGGUCCAAAACACAUGGAUCGAACCAGAUCAAACGGCCCAAAAAACGGAUGCUGCAACACGCCAAAACAACCGUUUGUUCAAUAGCUUUUGUGUAAAUAAAUCUAGCUAACACGUACGACGCAUGCAUGUGCGUCGGGUGCUACUCGUAGACACGCUCUGAUCGAUAUUUGCAGCACGACCCGUACGUAGCAGAGACGACGCUCCUAAAGUUCCAUGAAGCUCGAUCGAUCUGCAAAAAUCAGCUUCACGCCCUCGUAAUUUAAUUAUUAAACAGUCCAUCACGUGACUCGUGGGCCGACGCGAUCGGCAUCUAUACCUCUGACAUAAAGAUAAAUCCCAACGGAGGCAGCUAAGACUCAACUAAACUUCAGUUGGAUACCAAAAUGUACACAAUCUCUUGAGCUAUUUCAAACUUUAACCACCUAAUAAAUCCAGCUAAUGCAUGGUUAAACACAAUUGUCUCUGUUUUUUCUGUCUACAUCGGGCUCAACAAAGUAGAGGAGCAUGGUAAAUCAACAAUAAUUAGUUAGAGGAUCCAAAUAAUCUCGCUAAAUUUUAGCGACCAAAUUAGCUAGGUAAAGUUUAAAGUUUAGCCAUAUGGAUCCAAACAGAGCCUAAUAAGUAAAGACAGGAAAUCGGUAGAUAUGAUUGAUGACAUUUAUAUAUUGGUGAUAAAAAUAACAAAAAAAAUAAUUGAUAUUGGUAGGGUAAUUAACUCUAGGAUUAUCUUAGCUAGAAAGUGCAAGUGUUCCUCCAUUCUAUCUAUAUAGAAAAUAAGACAAAAAAGAAGGUGUGCUUGGAUGAUGGGUUCAGCCACACAUCCCUAGGGAAUAAAUAAUGGGUCUCUAGCUGUCGAUGCGAAAAACAAAGUCUGAAUUGCAUUGUGUUCCACACUUCCACUAUGGACGGUGUGGCUCAAGAGAGCAUCAGAUCUUGCUUGUUGGCCAUUUAGUAGCUGAUCAGAUCUUGCCCAGCCUUUUCGAGGAAAAAAAAAGAGAGCAAAAGUCACAAAAUUUUAUGUAUUUGCAUCUGAAUGGCAAGAAAAGAAACCAUGUCAAAAUUACAACAUGAUAAAGCACAUAGGGAGCGAAAUGGCCCUUUUCAGUCCCAUUUAACACACACUAAUGGUGAACUUAAUAGAAGUGGCAGAAUGAAAGGGCAAGAAAGUUAAGAUAGAUGGCAGAUACAGCACUUGAAACAUUUUAGUGGUACAUAGAUAGUUAAGAAAAAAAUUCAAAGGCCGAUAAGGGAUUUUCUCCACAUAGGGCACUCAAAAAAUUUGGGAGUCCCAGAUAAGGAAACGAUCGAUAGAAAUAAUGACAGAAAAGAACUUCUCUAUAUGUUUUGCCGAAAUUUGGUUUAUGUUGGUGCUUAUGUUGAAAUGUUAUGAGAGAAAAACAUUUGUUCAAUCGCUGAAAAGUAGUGCUAAAAUAGUGCAGCAGAACAUGACAACGUGGCGAGAUAAGAAUCAGUGCAAUAUAUUAAUAAGUAGUGCUCAGCGCAGAUCAUACUGCUAUUAGUAACUAAUAAUAAGUUCAAGUUGAGUGCUAAUAUGCAUCUAGGAAUAGGAGCAAUUCUAUGUAUAUAUAUAUUUGAUUAGAUAGACACACACUGUCUGUCACACAUUUCAUCCACAGCCACAUCCCGCGGAGGCCUUGUUUAGUUCACCCUGAAAACCAAAAAGUUUUCAAGAUUCCCCGUCACAUCGAAUUUUGUGGCACAUGCAUAAAACAUUAAAUAUAGACGAAAACAAAAACUAAUUACACAGUUUAGCUGUAAAUCACGAGACGAAUCUUUUGAUUCUAGUUAGUCUAUGAUUGAAUAAUAUUUGUCACAAACAAACGAAACUGCUACAGUACCGAAAACUUUUCACUUUUCGAAACUAAACAAGGCCUUGAAUUGGAUUCAUUCAUGCAUGGGGUGGGCGCUGGCAAUGCAGGGCGGCGGCGGGAACAUCCCACGCUCGCUGCCACCGGACAUCACGGAGCCUCGCCUCGCGACACUGCGCCGCUGCCUGGACCUCGGCGCCGCCGCACUCCGCGCCGGCCAACCCGCUAUAUAUAUAUAUAUAUAUUUGUCACUCAUGUCGCCGGCCGCGCUCAAUGCAGACAUAUAUAUAAUGCAGGUGCGAGAGCUGGAGAACUGCCCGCACUUCAACGCCGGCAGGGGCUCGGUGCUGACGGCGGACGGCACGGUGGAGAUGGAAGCGUGCAUCAUGGAGGGGCUUACCCUGCGCUGCGGCGCCGUACGUGGCGGGCGUCUCCACCGUCGUCAACCCCAUCUCGCUGGCCAGGCGCGUCAUGGAGGAGACGCCGCACAUCUACCUCGCCUUCCACGCCGCCGAGGCGUUCGCCAGGGACCAAGGCCUGGACACCCAGGACGACGACCCGGCCGCCUACUUCAUCACGGACGCCAACGUGGAGCGCCUCAGGCAGGAGCAGGAGAAACAACGACAAGCCGCCGGCAGCGACAGGAACGGCGACAGCCUGCAGACCGGCACCGUGGGCUGCGUGGCCGUCGACGCCGCGGGCGGGCUGGCGUCGGCCACGUCCACGGGCGGGCACACCAACAAGUGGGCCGGCCGGAUCGGGGACACCCCCAUCGUGGGCGCCGGCACCUACGCCAACGCGACGUGCGCCGUGUCCGCCACGGGCGUCGGCGAGGCCAUCAUCCGCCACACCGUCGCGCGGGACGUCGCCGCCGUCAUGGAGCACCGCGGCCUCGACCUGAAGGACGCCGCCGCGCGCGCCGUGGGGCUGGUGGCCGUGUCCGCGCGGGGGGAGGUGGCCAUGCUGCACAACACCGCGGGGAUGUUCAGGGCCUGCGUCACCCAGGAUGGACACACCGAGGUCGCCAUCUGGCCGCCGGGUGAGGCCGACUCAACGGACGAUGCUGAUUAGUUUCUUCAGUUCUUCUAUAAUAUAUUGAUUGAUGAAAUAAAAUCAGCCAACCAUCAAUCGAUUAAUCAUCAAAAUAAGGUUGCGUUGCAUUGCAUUGCAUUGCAGCGAUUAAACCUGGAGUGUAUCACUGCAUGUUACAGGCCAUGAGGUCAACAAUGCAACUUAUUCGUAUUAGAAAUAAUACAUCUUAAUCAGGAUCUGCGAUCCAGAGAGAUGUGCAUAAAGUAGAGAAGAGUUUCACUUAAAAUAAGUAGGUUUUUGGAUUUUAAGUGAAACUCUUCUCUACCGAAUACAGGAUCUAGAUGUGCAUAAAGUAGAGAAGAGUUUCACUUAAAAUUCAAAAACUUUUUAAGAUUCUCGUCACAUCGAAUCUUGCGACAUAUGCAUUAAAUAUUAAAAAAUAACUAAUUGCACAAUUUAUCUAUAAUUUGCGAGACGAAUCGUUUAAGUCUAAUUAGUUCAUGGUUGAAUAAUAAUUGUUAAAUACAAAUAAAGUGCUGCAGUGUUCAAAUAAAAAAAUUUAGAUCUAAACAAGGCCUUAGCUCACCUAAAGGCAGCAAGCAAAAUCUUGCAGACACAAUGUCAACUAGCAAAACAUCCAAACACAUUGCUUGCUUCAAUUUCUAGCUUGGCGAGGCAAUGCAGCAUCUACAGAAAAAUUUAAACAUGCUCGUACUCCCUCUAUUUUAAGUUAUAAGUAAGUUGUUGUGAUACUUCUUUUUUACGUAGGUUUUGUUACAUGCAAAAAAUCAGAUUUUGUUUAGUUCGCAAAUUUUUUUGGAUUUUGCUACUAUAGCAUUUUCGUUUGUAUUUAAUAAUUAUUGUAUAACUGUGGACUAAUUAGGCUUAAAAGAUUUGUCUCGCAAAUUACAGACAAACUGUACAAUUAGUUUUUUAUUUUAUCUAUAUUUAGUGUUCCAUGCAUGUAUCUAAGAUUUAAUGUGACGGGGAAUCUUAAGAAAAUUUGAGAACUAAACAAGGCCUCAUUUGUCUAGUCGGCUUGUUUGCUGGUCUGAAAAAUCAUGACUGAAAGUAAAAUUCGUUGAUUUAUUAUGAGAAAAAACAUUGUUACCUGAUAAAAAAAUAUAGUUUAUAAGACAAGCGAACAGACUCGGGGAAAGUUAAAUAGAUAGCCGGAGAUUUACGGUGUUUUGAAUAAAUUACUUGAUCGAUGUUAUCGAGUAAAUAAAUUUAUGUCAAAAAAAGAGGUGCCCAAGUGAGUGGAGAAAGCCUUUAGCAAUAAACAAAAGAGAAGUGACGGGAAACCACAUGACCCCGGAGUUUGGCGGCAGAUGGAAGCAUGCGAGGCCGGAGCCGGAUGGCUGGCACACUCCUCAAUCCUCAUCCAUGUCCGGUCCGGUCCGGUCCGGUGCGGUCCCCAAACACCGCAUUCCCGUCACCAUCCAUCUCCCCGACCCACGGCAGGGCCACCACCUUCCUGUUCCCUAACCCCAUGCUCCGCCACCGCCCGCCACCUUCGGCUCACCCACUCCCAUCCCCAAUUCUUUCCACCUCUGCCUUGAUUUGAUUCGGUCUGAUUCCGGUGCUGCAGAUUCGCCUUCACCGGACCUCGCAUUUCCCCGCCGCCGCGCAUCCUCUCGCGGCCACUUUACUCUGAUCCCCGACCCCGGCUGGGGUGGCGAUCGGGUCAAAUGGCCGCGAGUGAUGGAGGGGAGGCAGAGGCGCUCAAGGAGCAGGACGCCGCUAGCAGACUGGAGGCGGCGGCGGUGGCGGAGCACGUCCUGGGUUUACCCGACCAUGGCGAUUGCUCGGCGGCGCCGGCGCCGGCCGUGGUUCAUGGGUGCCGCAAUGGCAUGCCUGGCAGCCCAGAGCACGGCGUAGCAGCACAAGAAGCCUUCUUUCGCAGCGAGGCGAAUCCUGCACCAAAGUCAACGGCAAGACAGCAACUUGGAGGAGCAGGAGAUUGUUACUAUUACAGAAAAAGGCGCGAUCCCAAGUGCAGAGCUGCACGUUCCAGCAAAGCUGUCGUCUCUUCCAAGAGGAGUUCGAGCAGGGACCUCUCCGAUCAGUUGGAAGCGCACGCGCGCCGGCUGCUCAUGGACGCCGGCUGGCGCAUCAGGCCACGGAUAAGGAAGGACCGCCCCAGGGUGGCAUAUUACUUCACCGCGCCGCAGAGGGAGGCGGUGCUGGCCUCGCUGUCGCAGGCCUGGAGACUCUGCGGCCAGAGGCUUCGCAGUGCCGCCGGGGGGUUGGAAUUGGGGCAGUGUCCUGCGGAGUGGUCAGACGUCGAUCAGUUUUGGAAGGACCUUGUGGAUGCCAUGGACAGUGUUGGGAAUAUGGCUGUGGAUGGCUCGGCCACGCUUCUGCGGCGGUGGCAGCUUCUGGAUCCUUUUGUGGCUGUGGUGUUCAUUGAUAAGAGGAUCACUGCCUUGCAAAAGCAGAAAAGGAUUAGAGCUGUUGACAGUUCAACCUGUUUUGUUGAUUGUUAUGGUGACGAUAGACCCUCAACAGACAAGCCUACUACUACAAGCCCCUGCUCUGGGCAUCAACAUAUGAUGACAAUAGACAUUGAGGAUUCUGGCCAAGCAGAAAACCACAUUCAGUUAAAUGCUAAACCAGCACAUUCUUAUUCUGGAGCAAACCUCGACAACACUUUGGUUAAAAGGGUGCGGAAGAAGUCCAGAUGGUUAUAUGACUUUGAAUCCACUGGAUUGAAUGGACUAUAUGCCCAGAGCUUUAUGCAGCCCUUUGUACCUUUGAGUGAAUCUGGAAGCUGUUUAGUUGGCAAUGGCACGCUCAAGAAACAUGUCAAGUCCAGGAACGAGUCAAUGCCUUCGGAGUCGAAUGGGUGUUCUGUAGCUAAAUCUACUGUGACCGAGUCAGAUGCAAAGAAAGAUGCCUCUGCCAAGAAGCAACAAUGUAGAUCACGGAAGCAAUCACUAGCCAGGGGUUUGUCUGAACAUGUGGUUACUGUUUCUAAUGUCAGCAAUGUAGUUGUCAAAUCAUGUGAGAAACAUAAUGCUACUAUGGUGGAGUGCAGUACUUCUCUGGAAGCACAAAGCCAUAAGGAACCCACCAUUGCGAGCAAGUCUAAAAUUUUUGAAAAGCAGGCAAAGAAAAGGCCUUUUGAGAUGCAUUUUAAUGAUGAUGACCUUUUGAUCGCCGCUAUUGUGAAGAAAAGGGACAUCAGCUCCUGCCGAAAAAAUGAACUAAGGCUUGUAUCUUCAAAGGCUAAGUUUAGGAAGCUGAAAAGCUCAAAAAAAGACAGCAGACUGCUUAUACGAAAAGGGGGUACAGAUGUCCUGGAUGGAAGGCAAAUAGUUUUAGCACGAAAGACUGUGUUAUGCUGGUUGAUUGCUACUGGUUUUGUGACUCUAAAAGAUAUUGUGCAGUACCGAAAUCCAGAGAAUAACGAAGUACUUAAGGAUGGGUGGGUUACCUGGGAUGGCAUUCUGUGUAGUUGUUGCAGCAAGACGUUAUCAAUUUCAGACUUCAAGGCUCAUGCUAUGAUCAGUCUUCCUAGAUCCUCCUUGAAUCUGUGUCUUCAGUCUGGAAAGUCAUUCACUCUUUGUCAAAUUGAGGCUUGGAAUGCCGAAUAUAUGGACAGGCGGAGUAAUGCAUGCAGAAGAAAAGUGGAAGCAGCCGAUGGAAAUGACGAUACUUGUGGUUUCUGUGGAGAUGGCGGUGAACUACUUUGCUGUGAUAACUGCCCAUCAACAUACCAUCAAUCUUGCCUGUCAGUCAAGGUACUUUAGCUUCUCAUGUGAGAUGCUUUUCUUAACGAAUUUAUCAAGCAAUAGAAUGCAACUUCCCUCAAGUUGAAUCUUAUAUGAGGCAUUUUAACCUUUAAGGGAACAAAUCAUGUAUAUUGAUGGAGCAUAUCUCCUCACUUCGGAUGAUGUAGCUAUGCUGUAUGAACAUGUUGCAUUCUUACAAAUGAUUUAGCUAAGCUUUCCUAUUAUCCUUCUUUCUAAUGUAGGAGCUCCCAGAUGAUAGUUGGUACUGCCAUAACUGUAUAUGUCGUAUUUGCGGUUGUCCAGUUACUGAAAAGGAGAUCUCAAGCUUCUCAGCUAUCAUAAAGUGCUUACAAUGUGGAGCUGCACGUAAGCACUGCAAUUUGUUCUCUUAAAUUUUAGAUGCUUUGAUUUGUUUCCAGAUGUUUUCCCUGUAAAAACUUGACAUUUAAUAUCAUCUACAAGAAUGCUUUGGCGCCCUGCUUGAUACUUAUUUUGGCUUAUCGUUUUAUCAGCAGCUUUGGUACCGCAUAAAAGUGAUCACUGUGUGUUGUCUCAUCAUAGAAGUAAUUACUAUGUGGUAUAGUUGGGGAAAGGAAAUUAUCCUACAGUAUUAUUGCCAUCAGUUUGAUGUAUUCUUCCUUGUAUAAUGUUUACUGACAGACCAUGACACUUGUGUUGAGAUGGGGGCGACAGCCUUUGAGGAAAUGGACUCAGACGAGUGGUUUUGUGGAACACACUGUAAAGAGGUGUGCAUUUGCUUCACAAGAAUAUUGAUCCUGGUGGAUCAUAAUUGAGUCUUUACAUGUAGUAUGAUUUAUUUGGCAUAUUAUCUGUAACAGACCAACUUCAGAAUAACUCAGUGUUGUAGACUUGGAAGCUUAUCACAACUCUUGCAACUGAAACUGCCAUCCAUAUCAGAAUUAUAUGGCCUGUUUUGGCUCUACCUCUUGUGCUAAUCUUUUGCCAUUCUUCCAAAGCUUGAAUGUGACUGCCAUUUCAAUUUGAGCUGGUUACCACUUGAAAGAUCUGUGUAAAGUGUACAAUCUCAUAUGUGUACUUAACAAGUUGCUUUAUUAAUAGUGCUAUUGUGUUGAAAGUCCUGUUCCUUUUCUUCAUUUCCUUGCUUCAGGCUUUAUCUGCCCCCUUUUUUUGUAACAGAUAUAUUUAGGACUGCAUGGUUGUGUUGGAGUGGAGAGUUCCCUUGGCGAUGGGCUUUCAUGGACCAUAUUGAGGUGCAACAGUGGUGGGCAGAAGAUGCAUUCUGUACAGAAGAUUGCCCAUGCGAUAGAAUGCAAUUCAAAAUUAGCAGUGGCUCUAACUCUUAUGGAGGAAUGUUUUGCUCAAAUGGUUGAUACUAGAACUGGCAUAAACAUGAUACCACAUGUCUUGUACAAUCAGGGGUAAGUUUCAUGUUUUUGUUUUGACUAUUUAUUUGCUCAAAUUCUAAGUUCCAUUUGUGUUAAUUGCACAUCAAAAUUCAGUGCAACAGUCUGAUACUCUGAUUAGCAACUUGUUAGAGUUAACAAAACAAUUAAGGAAGGAAUGAUCCACAUAAACUUGUAAAUCCGAAGUGCCAUUGUGUAAGUUGAGUGUUAGGGAAUUUUUUUUUUUUUGAGCAAUCAACGGGGGGAUUUUCGCACCUGGUUUUAUUAAAGGUGACCCAUUGUCACAAAGGAUUACAGAGACUGGUCCUGAAACCAAUAAUAACAAUACUAUGAAAUUGUUUGAUCAUAUUGAAGUGUGUUGAUAUAUCCUGAUGGCACAUCAUACUGAUGAAUUCAUAUUGUACUUGCAGUUUGCAAAAGAAAAACCAGUUAACUAUUGUUUGAGUUGAAGAACAGGACGAGAAACUUAGAAUAGAAGAUUUCACAUUCUCGCUUUAGUCAUAAAAAUCUCAGACUUGUAAUAUUAAUAAGUUCCAUGUUUCUCUUUAUGAAUGAGAAUUACUGCUAUAGAUUUUUGUUAUAGUAAUAUGCUUGCUUAUUUGUGCUGUUUAUUUUCUUCUUUUGCCCUAGUGUUUGGUGCGCUUUUCAUGUUUAUCUGGCACCGGUUUCUACUAAAACAUGACUUCAGUUAUGCUACUAUUGAUACGAUAAGAAGGGGAAAAUCGAUGCCAAGAUGAUGGAUAUCAUCAUAUCAAGUUGCUGAGUUGAUAACUGUUUUCUUGGCAAUAUAGCAUUUCUUAUCAAUUAUUUUUAUUCUAGUUUUUCCAAUCAUCUGCAAAAGUUUGACUCCACUGAUGCAGAAAACUCUUUGCUCUAACCAGAUCCAAAUAUGCACGUUUAAAUUAUCAGGGCUUCUACACUGUGAUCUUGGAGAAAGGUGAAGAGAUCUUAUGUGCAGCGUCUAUCAGGUAAUAUUUUGGACAUUUUCUUUCUGUUAUGGACUUACAAGGAUUCUUUUACCAUUUCCUGAAGAUUGGCACAAAUCCAUCCCUCCCCUAAAUGUGUUUGCAUAUUCAAACUUUUCUGUUGAUUAUGAUUUUGCAAGAAUUUCAUAAUGUUAUGAUGAGUAUGAAUGUGUUUGUUUGACAAUAGGACGUGCAGCACUUUUAUUAUAAGUGAAUAAGUAACAGGCUUACAAAUGAAAUAGGUCUAUCAUGCUGGGGAUAGCAGCUGAUAUGUCUGAUCUGAUCAGAGAUAACAAUUACUUACAAGUCAUCCAACAUUUAGCACAGUAGCCCGUUAGCAUGGCCAGCAAGUUAUCCAUGUUCAGUUGAUCUUCAACAGCAACGUCUUUGUUAAAUUUUAAAUGGGAUGAAGCUUUACAGAAUCACAGUUAUAACAGACCUACGUUCUUAGAUUAACUAACUGCUAUCAAUGCAAUUGCAAAGGUAGUUUUUUUUAGCAUAAAAGGUAGUUAUUUUCUGAGACUGCUUGUCAACUAUAUGUAGUUAAGAUCCUCAUCCUAGUGGUCACAAAUGGUGUCAUGAUGUGAACCAUGUUGCCAAAGGAGGCUUUUCUCAGACUGGUUGCCUUUUUUCUGACACAACCUUGUGUCUUAUGAACUCAGGACUUAAGAUUCAUUUUCAUGGCCUUUGCAGAGUGCAUGGCAUGAAAGCAGCUGAGCUGCCUUUCAUUGCUACUUGUAGAGAGCAUCGUCGUAAAGGAAUGUGCCGAAGACUGAUAAACACCAUCGAAGAGGUACCUUGUUUGGAGAACAUUGGAUUUUAUCCUCACUAGUUAAAUGGGUAUCUUUUUUUUAAGAAAACUUGCUACUUUAUCUUUUAUUUUUGUAUGUUCUUGAUAUGCUCUUUUCUUACAAUCUUAACUCCUCCUUCAAAAAUUCCUCUUCCUGCAGUUCUUAUUUGUGGUUAUUAAGUUGAUAACCAUUUGAGUCUUCUAUGUGUUUUUUUUAAUUGCAGAUGCUGAAAUCCUUCCAUGUAAAGAUGUUGGUGCUUUCUGCAAUUCCAGAGCUGGUGAGUACAUGGGUAUCAGGGUUUGGCUUCAAACCUAUUGAAGAAUAUGAAAGGAAGCAACUUGAUACCAUAAACUUAAUGUUGUUCCCUGGUACAUCCUUGUUAAUAAAGAGCUUGGAGGAUGGCACAUUAACUGAAAAAUCAGGUCUUUGUUUUAAUCUUCUUACCAUUCUUGAUUUUCCAAUUUCUUCUGCACAAGUGGAUCCAUGUAUGCAAUCUGUUUGUCAUUCUAUGCCUACAGGCUACAUAGAUGUAUUUGGUUCUAUGCAGGAGCGGGAAAUGACACAUAUGAUGUUUUGGGCUUACCAGAUGAUUAUUGCGUCCCUAAUGGGAAUGAUAAUGAGCAUUUUGAAGAAGUUGGCUCAGAUUUCAUAGAGUCGCACAAGGAGAAGCUAGCAGCCGAGAAUGCAAAUCUGCAGAAUGGCAUCAUUCUGCCAAGGUUUAACCUUUUGUCAUUAGUUCUUAGGAGUUUCCUAUGUUUUCUGAAUCAUUUGAAGACUUAUCCAUGAUUGUUUCUCAUGUGGCAUUGCAUAACAGAACCAGUUUUCAUAUAGGAACAACUUCAUGCAAUUUUCCUUUUAACAAUUGGGAACUUACAAGAAGGGAAUGACCAAUACCAUAGUGUAUAUAUUAUACCAUUGACAGGAUCCUAUCUGUAUAAGUGCUUUUCUCUGCUAUGCUGGUCAUCUGCUGGUUUCAUACUAUUAUCUAAAUAUACUACAUUUCAUCAACAUAAUUUGAUGACUGUCAACUCUCCUCCCGGUUCGAGAAAAAGGCCAUCUUUAUUUCAAUUUUGUAGUCUCAGUUGAUCAUUGUUGUCCUAGAUAUGGUUUCUUGUGCUCUCGUGUUGUUUGUCAGUACUUUGCCGGAUUAUUGCAAUAAGUGUUGGUUGGCUUUAGUUACUGGAGCAUUGUGCAGCUAUUUUCAUGAUUCAUCUCUGCGUCUUCAUUCACUGAUUUACUAUCUAAAUAUUAUGUUGAAGAUGUGAAUCAUUACUUGUCUUGCAAUAUGUUGCAGUUAGCUAUUGGGGGAGUGUGAUUACUUCAUUGAAUCCAGAUAUCCUGCAUAUUCGAAAGAAAAGAAAUAUUAAAUUCAGAUUGAGACAUACACUGUGCACAGUUGACGCCUGUUUCACGUCCAUGUCUUAACGACAGUUUGACUUCAUGCAUCAUGUGCCAGUGCUGCUGUAUGAGCAGUUGUUUCCAGGUGCUUUCCGAAUGCUUGUGUCAUUUGUGCUACUGUUUUCCCGUGUUUGAGCGUGUUUUUGCUUGCUCAAGUUUCAGGAGGAAGCUACAUAUUUGUAAAGGAAAGAUGGUAUUCAGAUAAGUCAAUGGUGCCCAAAUGUUCCAAUGUUAAAAACAUGCGUGUGGUGAACUAACCUUUACCCUUGGGAGCAAAGUCACCGAUGAAUUGCAGUUGGCCAAGUACCAUAAGCAGAACCAUUAUGGAAAUGAACAGGAAGUUCUAGGUAUACAGUUAAUUGCAUCUGUGAAUUCAACCAUCAUGCAUAAUUACCUAGUGAGUUAUGGUCCCUGUGCAUGAACAAUAGUUUCUUGUGCAGUUAUGCUUGUCUAAUCCAACUUUUUUUUUCAUGACAUUUUCUCAUUUCAAUUACAGAUGUACUCAGAGAGGAUAAGUUUUGUACGGUAACAUUACCAAUAUGAUGAUGGAGAAGCUUUCAAGUUCACCUGAGGAUUCAGGAUAAUUAUGGAUAGUGCAGAUUCAGGAUAGUGCAGAACACUACUUGUGUUCUUUGUCCAACGUGUGCUUAUCCGCGUGUCCUUUUUAUCUUUUUGUUUUUACUUGUGGGCCAUUGUUAGAGGAAUUUAGUUCUGAUUUUUUUUUUGGUUUUGAGUACUGUAAUAUUUAAGUUUUUAUUUGACAAUUUAUUGUCCAAUUAUAGACUAACUAAACUCAAAAAGUUCAUCUCACGAUUUACACGUAAAUUGUGCAAUUAGUUUUUAUUUUUGUUUAUAUUUAGUGCUUUAUGUAUGUGCCAUAAGAUUUGAUGUGACAGAAAAUCUUAAAAAGUUUUUUGGUUUUUAGGGUGAACUAAACAAGGCCUCAGUGGCGCGUGGUGUGAACAUAUUUUGUUAACCUUUUUUACUUUGUGGGCUAAUCCUAUUCCUAUUGAACAAUGCACUCCUGAUUCCGGGUUCAGUUGCAAAAAUGAUUACAUGCUCGAUUCCUGAAUUGUACUCAGCUAAAAUGAUCUCAAGCAACCACUAAAAUGAAUGAAGCUGAAGAGUGCACCGUAUACCAGUUCAUUUAACUGAUUUCAUUUUCAGUAUUUCAUUCAGGUCAUGGGCUCAUGGCUGCCAUGGCAGUUUAGUCUGUUAGUGCACAAGUGGUACCUAGAAACAGAGGGGUGUAUCUAUCUGUACUAUAGGAUAUUAAAUCCAUCAUACUUAACGGGAGAACAGGUGCCCUAAAUCCAUCAUACUUAACGGGAGAACAGGUGCCCCAGGCCCAAGGCUUUAUUUAUUCUAUUCAGAUUUCAAUGCCCAUAUGAACUAAAUCAAAAGAAAAAUUACAGGCUCAAAAAUCAAUAGACAAACAGCAUCUAGGGUUCCUACAAAGUUGUAUCAGUACACGCUAAACGCUCGUGAAACCAGACAAGGGCAUUUGCUUCUUCAAGAUAGAGCAACACAUCAACUAUUGAACAGAAGUAACCUAUGACUGCAUUACGUGCCUCAAAAGUAGGCAAAUCCAAAACUACUCCAAACUCCCUGUACACUCAGCAAGUAAAAUUGCUCACAUUCUGGGGUUGCCGAUUCUCUCUUCUUACAAGCAGUUGUCACACCUUAUUUUAUCAUCAUGGUGAAUUAUGUUCACGAGAUCAGAUCCACAUGUCAAUUUGGUACCAGAUAAGAUUUCUCAUUGGAGCUUACUGGAGCCACCAUCAUUGUUAAAAUGGUGAAUUUUGCAGCAAGAAUCAGCACCCCGGAAGCGACUGAGAUGACGUGUCAGAAUCAGGACAAUGCUGCAGGUAAAGCUGACGGAAUGACUGAGUUGAUGCAGCAGCUGACAGAUUUGUUUCCGAGUCUCCACCGUGCUGCGACUGGUUCUGUUGCGGUGACUGGGGCACCAUGGUGAACAGGCUCGGGCCUGACAACGUGCAGUGCCUCAGGUAAGGAAUCCGCUGCCCUGAAGAUCCAAGGUAGUAACUCGGAGAUCCAUGGGACAUGUGUGAUGAGCCUAUGUAACGACUGGGAGAUCCAUAGGCCGAACGGGAGAUGUGUUGUGAGGUAUUCCUGAUGUCGAUUGGUGGGGACAAGUGGCCACCGCACAAAGAGUGAGCAGAUGCAAGGUGCGAAGUGCGAGACCAUGAGGAUGACAUAUUUGCAAGGGUGCAGAAAGGAGAUGAGUUUGCAUAAAACCUAGGGUUAGGGGUGCGAGGGAUACUGGAACCCGAAAUGGAGUAAUUGCGGGAUAUGGACUGUGAUGAAGGAUGCCGGCUGAUUGGCCUGGGGGGAGAUGCUGCUACUGUAGACCGGAAGGAAGCCAAAGCAGUUGAUUCUGGUAAGGGAAUGGCAGAUGAUGAAAGCAAAGGGGUAGACUCUGAUACAGGAAGGUUUGAUGUUCCAGCAUUUGCGUCCCGCUUGCAUACAGGGCAGAAUGUUCUCCAGGAGGUGAGCCAUAGGUCCACACAAGCUGCAUGGAACUCUGCAAAGUGCAAAGUGAAACAACCAAGCCUCAGGUCACGAGUUAAGGAGAGAUUUAUAAUUUAUAAUUAUAUAGAAGAGGGAUCCAUGAGAAUGCAGUUAACAAGUAUACCCGGUGAUGUUUUAAAUGCAUGCACCACUAGUUACACAGUGGAAUCAAAUUUGCAAGUAAAAUUCAAUAUGUGCAUCAUCAUUAGAUCAGAAAGCAAAAUAAAGUUGUUGAACGAAUGUGAAAUGUUGUAUGAUAAUGUACACCAAGCUGAAAUCUCUGGCAAAAAAAAAAUACAGAAGUACUGUGAUUAUUUUUUUCGCCCUCUACCAUGACAUUCUCUUACUACCAUUCUUGUAGUGCUAUUCUGCAUUUGUGUCUAAUACCUACUUCCGCUUGUCACAAAUAUUACUUGCUUGGCACUUUUGGGCAAGCAAUAUGACACUUUUGGACAAGCAAUAUAUUGUUAACUUGACUUGAAAAGAAACAGUUAUACAUUGUGAAAGUAGUUUCCAUGAUGAAUCUAGUAGCUCCAAGCUAAAGAUGGCUCAGGACAAACCUAUAUGAGUCAUAUUUUUUGUGAUGAAAUGUAUUAAGAAUAGUAAACAAAGCAUAGACAGUAGUGCCAGCGAAAAAAAAAGUUUGGAAUAAACCUAGAUUAACUUACAUUGUGAUCAAAGCAAAUAGUAAAGAGUAGUAAACAAUGCAUAGACAGUAAUGGCUAGUGAGCCAGAUUCAGCUCACAUAUAAAAUGAAUAGACCACAAACUCCCAAAACAUCAGUUAAAUAGAUGUGAGAGAAACAUACUGUGUCGACAUGGUAGCACUCUUAGCUUUUCUCCAACACUGUAGUCUUCUAAGCAAAUGGCGCAUGUUGCUGAUGUACAGUUGUCUUCUUGCACUUUUGUGAAAAUAAGGCUUGGCAUUGCUUUAACUAAUUGACUGCUCAUUCCGUGGAACUCCCGAACUUGGGGAAGUCGAGCUCUGUCCCGUCUUAUCUGGUGUCUCCUCACAAAGAAACAAGCAGCUAGGAUAGCAGACAUAGCAAGCAGUGAUAUGAAUGAAAUUGCCAUGAUUGACCAAGCUGAGUUCUCAUAUGUUGGUAUUAUCCACAACUCUGCAUCAGUUUGGCUUGAAUAUUUCUUCAAUUCCUCGCCUGAUGCCUUAGAGACGAACACUGCAUAAAUGUGGACUCCAGACGAGCUUCCAGCCACUGCAGUAAUCCUUGCUUAAUUAAUAUUGCAAAUCUAUGAGGAUACCAAGUAGUGUAAAUGGUAAAAGUUUGACCAUUAAGUUAUCUCUACCUUUUAGUUUUGAUGAAACAAAUCUAGUAGUUUGGAUCUGUUUUACAAAAUCACUUUUCCUCUUCUCAACAGUUUAAUGACUUACAGCAUUAUGGACAAGAAAUACUCAAACACUAGUAUAGAGCAACACCCCUUUAUGUGCACUGGUAAAGGAUUACAUGUAACUGACGCUAUGGUAAAAAGAUUAAGUCUGGAUCAUUACUUGAAACAAGGAUGCCGUUGUCUUCAUUAUCAUACACUACAGCAGCCUUGAAUCCAGCAUUCUGUGCAUUUCUAACUUUGUCAUCGAAUUGGCAACCACCUCUUAUAACCAAUGCAAAUGGUGAGGCAGAGCCUUCAAUCGCUUUUGUUCUCAAUGGACUGCAUGCAUCCAUAGGUUCCACAGCAUAAAGGACACCAUUUACACCUGAACCUUUCACUGCUGGAGCUGCAGGAAGAGCAAAAAAGGUCAAUAAUCCUUGCAUUAACCAGAUAGAUAGAUUGGUUCAGGCACCGAUGUAAAAUUGCACACUAUGGAUCAUAAAGAUAGAAUGAUGCUACUAUACCAUGUAACUAACUAAGAAUGCGCUGGAGUGUGUUUUUUGAUGUACGGGUUUCUUAUAUUGUUCUUUGUCUUCUUAAUAUAAUGAUACGCAACUUGCUUGUGUGUUUGAUGUACGGGUUUCUUAUACUGUUCUUCGUCUUCUUGAGAAAAAAACAGCUAACUAGCUUUGCUUGUGUUGCCAUUAGAAUACCAGAUUGCUAUUGACAUGUAUAGAGAUACAUGGACAUAUAGUGUAACAAUGUGUAGCACUCACUAAAAGUUGCCUCAACAUCAUCGAACGACAGGGUAGUGUUGUUCGCCAUGAGUACAACAUUGGAAGCUCCCAGCUGAGCCAUGAGGCAAAUCAUCAGAAAGAAACAAAGGGGCAAUGAUGUCCUUCCCCUUGGACAUGCCAUCUUGACAGAACUCUCCUCCUUGAGUACCACCAGGUUGAAAGCACCAAUCACCUAAAACAACUGCAAUCAGACACUACUAACAUCAAUAAAAUUGAAAUUAGAAGCAGGAGAGGCGUAGCUUCACAGUAACACGAACAGUCUGCACAGUUGUAUCACAACCCAGAUAGUAUAGUAUGUGGUGGAGAGACCUAGAAUAACAAAAUCACAGGUCAAAGUGAUCCAUUUCUUUACACAACCUGCCUGCUUUCGAAAAGCGGGAGGGAUUUCUUUUCCACAGUCAUGAGAAAAGAGCACAUGAUGGUCCAUCUAAAAUUUGCCCGGAAUCCAGAGUCGUCUCCAGGGGUACGAAAAGUGCAUUGGCCUGGUUAAAAGAUGGCAAUUUGAGCACGAAAUCACCCCCAAAGGAAGGGGAAACAAAAGCCUCUGAAAGCGGCAUCAGUCCCGCCCCAAAUUCCGCAGAGGAAUCCCACAUCAAAUCGGGUGAGGACGGCGUCUCCCGAAAAUUGUUACAGAGCAGUAAAAUCCAAAUCUUUGCAGAUCGAGUCAGAACAAACGCACGGAGGAGGAGAAAAGGCCGCACCUUGACGGGAAUGAUUUGGUCUUCCCGGCAGCAGCGUCAGCAGCAGCGGCAGGGGAGUGACGCGAGGAAGAAGACGAGUCGGCGCAGGAGAGAGGCAGGGGACUAGAACGAGGAGGAAUUAGCGGGUGGUGGAGGCGGAUCGAGUGGGGAUGGAGACGUCGGCUGCCAUGAGAAAUCUGCAGAGGAUUUGGAGGGGCGAAGGGAGGAGGACCUUAUGGAAUUCCGCCCGCAUAAACCAGAAUUCGGUUUGGAAUGGAAGGAAACAAUCAGAAUUGAAUGAAUGAAUGAAUGAAUCUCUGAUUUAAUCUUUCCUUCUCACGGAUAUACUAAUACAAUAAUACUACUAGUAUAUAGUAUGGCAUUUAUUUAUGUAGAUGAUUCCUGAAUUGAUAGGAGGAUGGUGGGAAAAAAAAAAAUCAGCAUCCGUUGCUUUGUCAUCCGUCUCUAUCCCUGCCGCGGUCCCAGGGUCGGAGGUUACGCUAACACGCGGCGCCACCAUUUGCCACUAGCCAUAACCUUCCAGAAAAAAAUAAUAAUAUGCAUUGCUUUAUUAUUCUUAAUUAAUAAUAAUAUAUACUAAUAUAAGAGCAGAAAAGAAAAGAACUUCUAAAACAAAUGCAUCAAUCAUCAAUUGAUUUCUUGUUGGGAAGGAAGAAAAUGUUGCUCACUCACACCGUCACACGUACGUCCAUCCCCUCAUUUAUUACUCGGUGCACGACGUCAUGAUAUCAUGUCGACCAUCCUCAUCUGUUUCUCCCGAGGCACAUCCACAGUUUUUGCCAUGUAUGCUUUAGUUCGAUGAAAUAAUUAUAGAAGUUGUAGUUAUAUAUUAUUUCAAUUAAUUAUAGAAAAGUAUAGAUUUAAAAUUAUAAUAAAAAAUUAUAUUAAAGUAUAUUAUAUUAUAUAUUUAAUGUGUAGAUAUGCUCAUGUGGAGUCUAACAAAAUUAGAUUUUAUAUUUUAUGAUUUUUCUAUAAUUUACUAUGAUUUUUUAAACAUUUAGCCAAAAUAAAUAAAAAAACUUUUAUAGCAAAAACUUUAUACUAUUGUGUAGAUAUAUUUAUGUGGAGUCUAAUUAGAUUUUCUAUUUUAUAAUUUCUCAAAGAUUCAAUCGAAAUAAUUUAAAAAAAAAAGACAAAACCAUCAUCAUUGUAGCAAACCACUAUUCACUAUAGCAAUAACGCCUUUAAAACUACUCUAGAAAAGUAAAUGUACAGUUUAAAAAGUUAAAAGAGAUGAUCUACUCGAUUUUAAAGUUUGGAGAAAAAAAAUAGACUUCCUUGAAAGUUGGUGAGCGAGAUGGCAACAACCUGCCGCUAGUGUAUAUUUCAUAUGGCCCAGUAGAGCUGGUUUGGCCCAUGUCAAUUAGCGCAUGUUUGGCCCAUGUCCAUUCACGAGCCUGGGACCUAGGAGAAGUUCUCAUGUUGAGUACUAUUGGCAGCCAGUUUGCAUUUUUGCCCCCUUUUCCAUGUCUUUUUUUUAUUUUUUUCCACAUUAAACUGCAAACCACAAAAAUCAAGCUAAAUCAAACUAACCGAGUUGAAGUGUUAGUUUUCGUUUUGGCUUUGGUUUUUAUAUUCGAGAGAAGUUUGGUCCUCGUCCCUGGCUUUCAUUUCUUGUCCCAACCGAACAGAGAAACCAUGAAAAAUGAAGUAACAUAUAAUGGAUCCACUGAGCAAAUAUCAUGCAACAAACAACCCACUUUAUUUCGUAAAAAACGAAGUUCAUUUAGGGAUGUUCUAGGAAGCUAAUAGUUAGCUGCUAUCGUAGAUAACUACCCUUAAUAAUAAAAAUACUAUUAACUAGUUCUUACUAACUAUAAGGUAAUGUUUCUAUCUAUGAUUUGUGAGGAUGGUCCUAUUCCGUGAUUUACUAUAAGGGAUGUUCUAGAAAGCUAAUAGAUUGGAAUGGUCCUAUCUAUGAUUUGUGAGGAUGAGAUGACUUCAUUUUCUCUUUGAUUGAUGAGGGUUGAGAUGAAUCCUUGACGUAGAGAUGUCAAAGUGGGGUCAGCUACCACAUGUGGAGCCUAUUUGUUAGUUUUUUUUCUUUUUAUUUGUCCUCUUCGUAUCUCUUCUCUUUCAUUCCCAGCUGACCAACACUAGACACCGCAGUAGCUUCGUUGGCGAGCAUAGCCGCCUUCGCCCCGUGCCUCCUCUAACAACAAUCCUGACCACAGACCAUUCCUUGUCUCCUCUAUUAGAGCAACACCAUUGUUGCCAAAAAUGAACCAUAAGAUGAUUGAGUCGAACCAUAUACACCAGGAGCAUCGAACCAUAACUGUCACAAAAGAAAUCGAACUCUGCAGAAAGUUAGAAACAUUGAAUCGACGCAAUUGAUUAAUUGAAUAAUACUAUUUCAUGUGCAUGGUUGAAUAAAAAUACUAUUAACUAUUUCAUGGCCGCCCAUGCAUGUGAGAGAGGAAUGAAAUUGUAUAUAUGGGUCUUACAGGCGAUGUUGAUACUGGAGUAGUCGAACUUUUCUUGUGUUCAUUUUUCAUCUUUGACAACGUUCGACAUUACACUAGAGGUGCCCUUAGCAAGCCUAGUUGCAUGCCUCUUGCGCAGCGAGCCUGGCCACCCGUGCGCACCGGUGGAGCAAGGCCGCAGGCACGACGAGGCUGGUCUGCCCACACGCGCUAGCACCCUCUCUCUUCUCCCUUCUCUAUGCACUUAGCCAUGGUGGCUCCUCCGUGCUUGCUCCACUGCUUGCGGUGGCUCCCUCGCCUCUGCGGCCCUCUUCUUUCUCAACUCCGAUAACAAGUUAGCCUUCUUCCUCACACUUUCUCUCGUGGCGAAUACAAGAAGAUAUACUAGAAAAAAGAGAAAAUAUAGAAAGUGGCAUGGAAAUCAAGUGCCACAUGUUUUGGGACUUAUUUUACGAACUGCGAAGCACGAUGUUUGAAGUACUAAAUAUCCAAAAUUCUUGAUUUGCAUGCCGUCUUAUUCGUUUAGCUGAUAAAUCAUGUCAGAAAGUACUGUUGACUGAUUUAUUGUGAGAGAAAAACACUACUGAAUGGCUGGCAAAUUCAGCUAAUAAGCUCAAGCCAACAAUGAUCAUCCAUCGUCAUCUCACUCAUCUGUAUUAUUGUUGAAAUAGUUUGAGAAAUGAAAUAGGUUUUGCCGUAUGUAUGCACAUAAUUAAACGGGCAAUCCUUUGAAUAAAAAAAAGGAAAAAAAAGAGAAGAGAGAUCGAGAGAAAGAGACGGGUAUUCCAGAAGUGCCCUCGACCUACAGAGGUCGAACCGGUUCACCACUCACCACCCCCGUCUUCUCCUCUUAUCUCCUCCUUCCCUUCCCCCACCUGCACCUGCACAGCACAGCCUCUCCGCCGCCGUCCGCCUCCGCACCAUCGACACGCCCGACCCCGAGCGCGUCGCUGUCCGCUGGUCGCGGUACGUCCACCCUUCCUCAUCUUCUUUUCCCUUUCUUUCCUGGCGGCGUUCGACUGGGCGAGCCCAGUUCGGCGGUGCCCCUUCCACACACGCCUCCGCCGGAGACGAGUGCCCACCAGGUAUGCCCGCCUCCUCUCUUCCCCUCGUGCUGUGCGAAACGGAGCGCCCCAAAACCCUAAACUGACGGCCUCCCCGCCGCUGCCGCCGCCGCCGGCCGGCCCCACCUCCCCCUCCCUCUCCCCUCCCCUGCGCACCACCGAAGGCACCGCGGGAUCUGGCGCCGGUUCAGGUGGGAUGGAGGCGCUCUGCUGCCCACAGCCCUCCCACGGCACCUGCGCUCUGGCGUGCUAAUUUCGGUUUAGUUUUUGGGCUUUCCAAUGAGACCUCGUUUGUUUCUCGGUCCUGAAUUGCAACUAAUGUUUCUUGAUUGGUAGCAGGGGCUAGUUAGUUUGUUAUGCAACAGUGACUGAUGUAAUUGACACUUGUAUUCCUGGAAUACCUAAUGUAGCACAAAGCUGUUAACUUUGCCCUCUGUUAUAUUUCAGCUGGUACACGCAAGUAAUAAAACAUUAUAUGGCGCUAGUACAGUUUAACGGUGCCUUGGUUCCUCAACUCGGUGAAAAACCUCGGCUGCUAUCCUCGUCACCUGCAGUUGCAAGGGCUACCUAUGCUGAUGCAAGAUUCCUGACACCAAAAACUGGGUAAGUCUGUGCACAGAUUGAAUAUUGUUUGGUAUAGGUAGAAUGUAGUUAACUUUAGUUGUUCCAUUCCAUGUUAGACAUGUAGUCUGUUUCAUAUGUUGUUUCCGCUGCAGUUUGUUUCUAGCUUCCACAGCAAUUACCAGUUCUUGUCAUCUAGUCAAUUUUUCACAUAGACUCAAAUUAGACUAAGCAACCUUAUUGGCUAUGUAGCGCGUACUUAAUACUCCCUUCAUUUCAAAUUGUAAGUCAUUCCAAGAAUCUUGAAGAGUCAAAGCAUCUCAAGUUUGACCACAAUUUUAGAAAGAAAUACUAAGAUUUGUAACAUAAAAUGGGUAUACUAUGAAAAUAUAAUUAAGGAAGAAUCUAAUGAUACUUAGUUGGCAUCAUAAUUGUUAUUAUCUUAUAUGACACAAAAAUUGUUAUUAUCUUAUCAUAUAAAUUUGGUCAAACUUAAGAUGCUUUGACUCUCCAAGAUUCUUGGAAUGACUUAUAAUUUGGGAUGAAGGGAGUACUAUGUGGUGUGUACUUAUACUAUGGAAAAAGAUCACAAAAUCACUGUGACCUCCGCUGUAUCUUUGUCCUUGCUACAUUGAUAAAUAUUGUUUAUAUAAACCACCACUUUAUUUUUUGUCAACAAUGAACAAAGAGAUUGAGCUGGCUAAAAUUGUAAGAUAUAAUGUAACAUAUGCCCUAAUGACCUAAUAAGGUCGAGGGACUUGAGCAAGUUGCAUUUCUAUGUUUUUCUCAAAAAUACUGUAACUUGUAAGUCGUAACAACAAAAUAUUCACAUAUUAAAAAAAAUUCUACCAUGUACAUAAAUUUCUUAGCAAACUAAGUUUGUUUUUGCUGUCUCUGUGCAGUUCAAGAGGUAGAGGUAAACACCUGCUAUCACCUAGUUAUAGUUUGCAUUCACAGACCUCUUCUGAACAACUAAACCAUGUACCAUCGUCAAGAUUUCGCCAGAAAAGGGGUUCACGUUUUGUUGUCAGAGCUGAAGCUGUGAGCUAUUUUCUUUUGUCUUUCUGCUUUGCUUAUGUUAUUGCUUCAAAAUGACUUCCAUUCUUAUUUGGAUUUAAUUCUCAUAUGACAGGAUUUUUAUAGUGUACUUGGUGUCUCAAGAAAUGCUAGUAAAUCUGAAAUCAAGAGCGGUUGGUAUCUUCUGUUAAUGUUUUUCACUUGAUUGUUAUGUGUUAGAGGAAUUUAUUACCUAGUUUUUAUUUGGUCGUGCAUGUCACAUAAUAUGCCAUGCAAACCCUUGCAAUUUUCACUUUGUCAGAACCCAUAUUUAUUCAAAGUCCAUCUUUCAUUCUUCCACUUCAAUGCUGCUUCAAUAAUAUAGUGCCCUUUUAAAAAACAAAACCAAUGCUAAUUUAGGAUUAUGAUGAUAUCACUUGUAAACUACUUUCUCCAGUCAUAAUUAUACCAUGCUUUUGACAAGAUCCGGUCAAACUUUUGAAACUAUGACUGCCAAUGACUCCUAAAAUAUUAGCUUGAAAACAUAAAGAUGGCAUGUGUAGAUUUGUCUUCAAAGGUACUCUCAUGUAAAUUAAGUAAGUGUAUUCUCUGGUGUAAUCUAGGCUUAAUGGAACUUUAAGGUUAUUUUCUUUGCACACAGAAGUAUAAUGCAGUUCUGCAAAAGCUUGUAUUUGUUAAGGUACAGUUGCAUGGUUGGCCCCACUUUGAGACCUUACUAUUAGUGUUCCCUCUGUUUUCAUUUUGCACCAUUGCCCCUGGUUUGUAAACAAAAUAGGGGCACUGGUGCAAACAUUUUGGAAACAGUAGUGGUUUUGGUGCAAAAUGACAAAAGGAGGGCAGAGUCAUAAUUAGACCUCAUAGUUGGGGUAACUAUGAAAAUGCACUGAAUUGUUACUAUUUCAUCUAAUUUAAGAUCUGAUAUCCUUUGUGUCACUUUAUUGCAUCUGAUUAGAUGGUGUUGUUAGCUGUUUAUUGCUUAUUUUUAUGAAAAUAUAAACUAUGAGUGUUUGAUCUAUGAGCUGAAACUAAGAAGUUUUGUAGCUUGAAAGCAUCUUGGUCAAUAUUACCUGAUACUGACUAGAGAAGAUUAGAGAUACAUAGCAUGCUAUUAUUUUGUUUAUUUUCUGUGUUGGUGCUGAAUCCUUUUGUUUUUCAGCCUAUCGGAAGCUUGCGAGGAGCUAUCAUCCGGAUGUAAACAAGUAAGUUGGUUAUUUGCAAUAGAGAAUCACUUUUCAGCUACUAUCAUCAUUUUGUUGCUUUUCGGCUGCUUAUAGCCAACUGUACAUUCUUAUUAUAUUUGUUUUGUACAUUAGACAUCUUUCAUAUUUAUCAGCAUUGCUGAAAGUACCUAUUUAUGAUUUAUUUUAGAGAUCCGGGUGCAGAACAAAAGUUCAAGGAUAUCAGCAAUGCUUAUGAGGUUGAGCCCACUGUUCAUACUCAACUCCAAAUUCCAUAUUUGGUAGUACGAUUACAUGUUUCUUUAUGCUUACAUAUAGCAAGGAUGCCUUUGUAGGUUUUAUCUGAUGAUGAGAAGCGAUCAAUCUAUGAUAAGUAUGGAGAAGCAGGUCUUAAGGGUGCUGGCAUGGGCACAGGAGUAAGUUUUCCUAUAUGGUUUCUAUAUCAGAAGUUUGGUCAGCAGGAUCAUUGAAUUGUUCUAAUCGUAUCAAUUUGUUUCCUACAGGAUUACUCAAACCCGUUCGAUCUCUUUGAGUCCCUGUUUGAAGGGUUCGGUGGAAUGGGCGGAAUGGGUGGUGGCCGUGCUGCUCGGAACAGACCAAUGCAAGGUGAUGAUGAGAGUUACAAUCUGGUACUCAAUUUCAAGGAAGCAGUGUUUGGUGUAGAGAAAGAGAUUGAGAUAACCAGAUUGGAAGGCUGUAACACCUGCGAUGGAAGUGGUGCCAAGCCAGGUACAAAGGCAACAACAUGUAAAACCUGUGGAGGUCAGGGCCAGGUAGUCUCCUCCACAAGAACACCACUUGGAAUAUUCCAGCAAGUCUCCACCUGCAAUACUUGUGGUGGCACUGGUGAAUUCUCCACUCCUUGCAACACCUGUGGGGGUGAUGGCCGAGUGCGAAGGACAAAGAGGAUCAGUCUGAAGGUUCCUGCCGGAGUGGAUUCUGGAAGCAGGCUGAGGGUCCGGUCUGAGGGUAAUGCUGGCCGGAGAGGAGGCCCUCCUGGGGACCUUUAUGUCUUUAUUGAUGUUCUCUCUGAUCCUGUUCUUAAGCGAGAUGGGACCAACAUUCUCUACACAUGCAAGGUUUCUUACAUUGAUGCAAUCCUUGGGACAACCGUCAAAGUCCCCACUGUUGAUGGAAUGGUUGACCUUAAGAUACCCUCAGGGACUCAGCCAGGCACAACUCUGGUGAUGUCCAAGAAAGGUGUUCCGCUUCUUGGAAAGUCAAAUGCUCGCGGAGACCAGCUGGUGCGUGUCCAGGUUGAGAUUCCGAAACGUCUGAGCAGUGACGAGAAGAAGCUAAUUGAGGAGCUUGCAAAUCUGAACAAGGCUCAAACAGCCAAUAGCAGGAGAUGAUUAUUGCACAAGGCUUUGUAGGACACACCGUGCUUGUGCGAUAGGCAAUUUUGAUGCAAACUGCAGUGAUGAAAAGAGUUGGUAGUGGUAAACAAACACUUCUACGAACUACAUACGGCAAGGGGUACACUGGAGCAAAAUGUGUCAUGCUAUAUCUGUAACCUCGUUUCUAAGCUAUUGAAAGUCAAGUUAGUGAACUGGACGUUUUGCAAUAGCUUAACAUAUGGGCUAGGCGACUUUAUUAGCCAUUUUUUAUUAUACGGCUUUUCUAUUCUUGAAAGCCUUAGGCAAAAUCAGGCUUAGACUUCACAUUUCUUGCAGAAAUGCUGCACCAUUCAUGGAAUCUGUAAGCUGGAAAUGUAACUGUAGUUUUAUGGUUUGUGAUGCAUUGGGGGGUUUAUUGGUUUGCUCUUAAACUACGUUAUGGAAACAAUACACUUUGCCCUAGGCAGUUGCUGAUGUGAAGCUGCCUCUGCGCAGAGCUGUUACAUUUUGCUCUAGACAGCUGAUUUUUUUUUACGAUGAAAGAAGAAUUAUAUUAUAUAAUAGCUGAGUACAUCAAACAUGUUAUAGGCAUUUUGGAUUACAAUAUAGUACUCACGUUGUGUAAAGCACAACUCAAAACCUAACCUAUUAGAUGCUUUGCAGUAUAGAUGACCGUAUAGGCAAAAACUCGUCAAAUGGCCUGAGAACAAAGAAUGAUGGCCAAUAUUCCAGUAGGCAGAAUUGAUGAACUUCUUUCUGGUGUCGUCCUUCUUCUUUCUGCCAUCAAAGAGUGAGGAUGACUAAUCUGAAAAUUAUUCUCCCUAGUCCUUCAUUGUGGCUAGAUCUAACCACAAUAAAAUGGAGAAGAGACUGGAGAAAAUUAUUUCAUGGCGGCGACAUUAUCUCCGCCUUGAUGCCGCCGUCCGGAAACAAAAGUCUCCAUGUUGUCAUAUCGAUGAAGAUGUUGACGCCGAAGUUAUCGUCCUUAUCUUCAACGGAGCCGCCAUGGAGAAGCUUAUUCCACCUCUCUCCACCGUCGUCGUCGGAGAGGAGAAGAUAAAACUCUAAUACCAAAAAAUUUGGCAUGGAGAGACACUAACCCUAGACUCGAUCUAUUAAAGAAAAACUUAUUAGAAACAGUAGAUCCCUGCUCCCUUCAACCUCCGGCGAGAUACCGGAGGGGAAGAGAGAGGGACCAGCGGUGGUGGACGACGGGAGCUGCGGCGGCGGCGCUAGGGUAUCGUGUUCUAUGGUUGUGUUUGCUCUAGGCAGCUGUUGAUAUGAAGCUGUUUGUUCUAUAUGUGCGACUAAUUGUUGGGAUCUCGAAUGUAAUUUGUUCUUGUUUGGUGUUUUUAAUAAAAUGGUUGAACAUGCGCAUAUUUAUGUGCUCACCAGCAUAAACCCAAUCUCGGCCCUUGGCCUACUUGCCUCACAAAAGUGCUAGACUUUAGAAGAAAGUACUGGAAGCAACCAUGGUCCGAGUGCAGUGGGGUAGUAAUGUUCAGUCUGUACACCACUAUUUAGAGUACAUGUGCGAAUUGAGCUUUAGCUAAUCAGAUUUGGUCAGCUAAAACUUCUUUAAAGGCAUCGAGCUCAUAUCUUUUUAGAAUUUAAUUGUACUGUUUUUUAGUAGGAAACAAUCUCAUUAUCUACCCAUAAACGGGUCUAGACAGUGCUACUUUUUAGAAGUAGAAUACACACACAAUGAAAAUUAAUGCAUUUUUUGCCCGUACAACAAAUUAACAAUAUGGCUUAUGAUUAUUUUAUAUAACAUGUGUGAGUAUUGUUUGCCCUAUGUUAGCGAUGAUGCUGUGUCUUGAUUUAAUCUGUCUGAAUUCGUCAAGUACAGUUAAGGAUAUAUACGGGAAGAUUUUGUGCAUAAGAAUAUAUUCUUAUUUUCCUAAGAACAAUGCUUUCUAGCAAAAUAUUACAUUACAUAGCAAAAUAAGCCACCCUAUAUCAUCACACCCACAUACUAAACCAUCAAGCAUUAACGGAUCUGAUUUCCAGGCAACGCCCAUAAGAUCCUGCCACAAGACAACAAGGGAAGAUAGAGCAAGCAAGAAAUCAGACACCAGAGUCCAGGUUUACUAAUCUCUUCUCUCUCUUUUUUUCUUUCUUAAUAAUGUCAUUAAAACGAACACAUCAUAGUCUCUUCUUGACUUUCCACAAAAGAUACCACCACCACCAUCAGAAUGCUGCCUGCAAAACUAGCUUUUCACCCAACGAAACUAGAACCUAAUUGUUCAUCUUUUUUUUCACCCUUUUUUAAUGACAUAUAGAAGCUAGGAACCGCCAACCAAGACAGGCAUUCUACCAAAAGAAAGGAAAAUAGAAGCCUUGGGCACCAAAGAUUAACCCAGAAGGGCAAAAAAUUGUGAAGCCAAAAACAAAAGCUCCUGCUGGCCACUAGACGUCACAACUGUCAACCCGGACCGGCAUCGAGCCGAUUGUCACCACACCAACUGUGUUAGUCUUACGGUCAGCCUCCACUGCCUUGGAACCGACUUUGAGGGAUCCAAGUUUGGCAGUGACCCUCUGCUCCUCGCCACCCUCUGGAACUGUGCUCACAGAGCUGCUGACUCCAUUUAGCCGCUUCUCCACACCAACUGUGCUAGUUUUAUGGUCAGCCUCCACUGCCUUGGAACUGAUCUUGAGAGAACCAAGUUUGGCGGUGACCCUCUGCUCCUCGCCACCCUCUGGAACUGCUCUCACAGAGCCGCUAACUCCAUUUAGCCGCUUUUCAGGUGCUCUCAGUGAGCCCUGGGCAGCAGCACUGCUGUCUGCAUGCUGCUUUGGAUUUUCAACCUUCUUCCAGUACUGCUGUUUCCCCUCUGCACCUGCCUUCAAGCUUGAAGCUGGUGGAUGGUUGGUUACAUUUUUGGCUGCAUCGUCAUGGCUCUGAUUGUGAUUGCCACUGCAAUGACUUUCCUGUACUCCAUUCUCUUUCUCAGCCUCACUGGCCUGCUUUUCAGAGACGCACGGUUCCUGAGGUUUGAUCACCUUAGCAUCAUGCUGCUUCUCGGCCACAUUUUGAACCUCCGAUGUUUUGUCUACCAGCACGCUGCUGGAUUUUGUCUGCUGAGUGUCAGAAGCAUCUUUUGUACGCUGUGAGACAGGUACAAAAUCUGGAGCAUUGUAACUCAGCUUGCACCUUCUGUGCGGCUUCUUUCGCGCCUCGUCUGUCUCAUACCUCAUAAAAUCAUCAAACAGGCAGAACCUCGCUUUGAUGCCUUUGAAGAUCUCGAUCAUAGAUAUUCCAGGGAGGUAUGGUAUCUGCAAAUGAGACAUUGCGACAGAUCAUGACAUGAGGCCUCAACAUUCAUAUGAGAGCAAAGUUAUUAUGGCAGCUGACUACGGAAAUGCUCAAGAGAAAUAAACUACUUACUGAAAUCAAACAAUUUAACAAAACUGAAACAAAUUCAAUACAAAACAGGACAUGCCACACUUACUUCCUGUGUAUCUCUGCUAUGUGUCACAGGCUUGUUUUCAUUAUUCUGCAGUGUGAUGUGCUGCAAAGAACAAUUUUGUAUAUCUUUAACGAUGUGCCAUCUCACAGGAAAGCAUCCGGUCCAUUUAUCCUGACACCAGAAGUCCAUGUCCUUGUGAAAAUCAACAGGACCAACCAUCUCAGCCAUGCCACAAAAGUGCCCACUACCAUUUACCUGAUAAACAUAAUAAAAAAUUCAAUAGUUGAACUUCGAGCACGAUAAAUUUUAUGAAUGUUCAAUAAAUCAAUACUCACAGAGAAGAACAAGAAAACUGGACAUUUAGUAGAAUGCCUCCUUGAUAUCCUGUCAGCAUCCCUGAAUGCACUAUCUAGCUUGCUGUUUCCAUUGGAGGAACUUGACCAUACACCAUACUUUAUUGAUUUGUGCACAUCUGCCUCACCAAUUGACUUGAUAACAAAGAACUUUGCAUACGUAUAGUCGAUUCGGAGAUCAUCUCGGUUGUACUGGUCAGUUCUUAUAAUGAUUGUCCCAUCCGGAUUACCAACAGGGAGCCUUGAUGUGUAGGAUUUCACAAUUAUGGCAGAGCUCUGAUUGCUUGGUUUCUCAGAAUCAACUAAGCUAUGCACUUUUUGGCCAGUACCAUUUAGAUGACCACUUGACUUUGAAGAUGGCUGGAAUUUCUCGGCGGCAGCCCACUUCUGAAGAUCAGAUCCAGCAGCACAUCCAAGGCAAUUGUUUCCAGACAAAUGUGCUGAUACCUGCCAUAAACACGAACAAGUCAGUUGGGGACAGAUAACACACAGCUUACUACAAGUAAAACAUGCUAUAUUGAAAACAAGCAAUAAAAAAUCAGUACAAUAUUUCUAUAACAUGCAUCAGCUCGCCACUAUAGAAGCAAACUACAGUUUGCUAAAGAACCCCCUUGAACUAAAUUAAGACCCACAGUACAGCAUAGAAAUAGGAAAACCUCUCACAAGGUCAACUUAACUCAAGCCCCUCACAUAAUCAUGUCCUGAUGUCCAAAACAUUCAUAAUAGAUGGAAUGUGUUUAUAAUUUCAGAGUUCAUUUAGCUAAAAGUAAUUACAAAAACAAAAAGGUAAUGCCCCAUAUAAGUUACUGAAAGUUAACUGCUGAACGACUUCAAAAAGUUAGGUUCCUUGCGAAAGGCAUUUUAAUGAACUACCAGUACCCCGCCCGAAGAAAUCCUGGAAAAGACUUCAGCAUGAAGAUGAGGCACCCAGUAGUGUGAUACAUUGAGUGAAUGAAGUUACCUAAUAAAUAUUCCACUAAAAAGUUAACUUUGAUUACAAUGGUGUGAACAUGUUCAUGAGGGACGAGAUUAUCAUGUGGAGGCACAAUAUAGGCUCUACCCGAAAAGGCGAAUCUUACAGUGGUUCAGGAAAGUUAACAAUUCCUUCUAUAGAUAAGAACUAAUCACAAAUAAACUGUAACUUGACAAAAGAAAGGUCAAUCAGUAAUAAUUUAUACAUUUGCCUACCUGAGAAACAUGAGGGAGUUUAGCAGGCACCAUGCAUCUAUCCGGCAACUCUUGCUUCUGUGGAACCGAAUUGUGCAGUUGAACCUUUGGUGGUUUUGCAUGGUCCUGGAACUGCUUUGAAGGUACAAUAGUAGACUGUACAGGUGGAUGCAUAACAAUGUCCCUUUUUGUGGUGACCGGAGCAAUUAAAGGAAAUGCUGCAUUUGCAGAUGUUGCAGCAUAACCUGGUAUGCCAGGAAGAAAUGCAACAUUGGAGGAGUGAAUAGGUGUGGUUGCGCUUCCCGGGACACUAUCUUGCGCAUAAGGAAGAACAGCUGGAAUGUAAUAGGAUGUCGGGGCUAUUUGGCAUGUGGAGUUAGCAGGGUCAGCAACAUACUCCUGAGGCAUAAAUGAGCCAUCAGGCACGAAAGAAGGAUCAGAAGGGUAAGGACUGUAGGUAGGGUGCAUAGAUCCAUUGUCUGGGGCUGCGUAGUAUACGCAUUGCAUGCCUUCAGCCUGCAAACCACCCAAGAGGAACGAACAUGUUAAAACACAUGGCUGUAAAGGGCACCAAUUAAGUAUCAAGUUUUUUAUAUUGUAUAUACUAACCGGAUAGUAAACAUCUUGGCCAUCAUAUCCUAAAGAGCUCGGGUGGUUAUACCAUUCCAUCGGUGAUCCAACUUCUGCAUUUGACAAAUUGAUUACCAUCAAAUGAAAUACUGAAAGGAGGCAAGCACCAAGGACAGGCAUAAUACAAAGAUAGGACAUUUCCUUUUACCUGCAUAACCAUAUUGGUAGGGAUUUGCAGUAGCAGGAACAAAAACAUUUUGUCCAUACAUUACUUCAGGAGUCAUUCCCAUCUCCAUGCAAUUCACACUUUUGAACAAGCACCUUGCUCUACUCCAAUGUUCCGAAUGAGCUGGAAUUAAAACUGAUAGGGCUGUUAUUGGCAAUUCAAAUAUGCCAUUUCAUGCGAAAAUAGAUAAAUACAAAUGAAGGUCUGAUCACUUAAAACGUAGCAUGGUGUGCUGCUGCAUCACAUCAUUGUUCAUAACCAUUUUGCAUCAAUGCUCAACGAGCAAUGGGAAGAGGCACACAUACAAUGAAUAGCAUACUGGUAUAGAAAUAUGCAGCACAACAGAAUAUGUAAAACAUUUGUAGUUGGUUAUAUAUGGAAGUCACUGGAAACAGACAUCAUCAACAAGUUUGCUGUAGAUAAAAUAAUAUAUCAACCAGCCAAAUGUCUGGAUUUCUACCGAAGAUUGAUAUUUCCAUAAAAAACUUUCAUGGUCAACUAAAAAAAACUUAUUCUUACAUUAUCACAUGUAUGAUACAUCUAAGUUUGGAAGGAUACUAGUAGAGGUUGAACCUUUGGCUGUUCGCAACUUUAGGGUGGACCUAAGGGACGGUGGCCGAAUCAUCUCUCAACGCAGAUUUCCACUAGCAUACAAAACUUCGUGGAAGUAACGACGAAAUGCUCCCACAUAUCUUAGUACUCUAAAAACUUCGACCACUUGUUGGUUCUGAAUGAUUCACAGGGUUCAGAUUUCGAACAGUUUAACUAGUAGCAAUUUCAGAACAGCAGCAAGCAUACAUGGGACAAGAGUCUGAAUCUUGGAGGGUAGCAAGUAGCUUAUAUGUAUCCAUGCAUUCAUUCAUUAAAAAAAAAGAAAGACAACAGGCAUGUUUACUUGAUUGCAAGAAUAUCAGGGCUAGAGUCUCCGUGUAGAAAUAAGAAAGGGUUUCUAAUACAUGCCUUUUUACAUAAACUAGACAUAUACUUGUCAGUGUACCCCUUUCUUUUGAUUUCAUUCGAGAUAGCUCGGAACUAAUCCCAACCUAGAGCAUAGCAAUAGCAUAGACAGAUACAGAAGAAGCUGGGUUACCUUGCUGCCCUGGAUGGAGUAGCCUCCGAUCCUUUGCUUCGCUGAUGAUAUAGAAAUGAAGGCCCGAAUCCGAUCCUUUGCUUCGCUGGUGAUACAGAGGAAGACCUGACAGAAAAGGAGAAAGGAGAGGGUCAGGUAAGGAGGAUCUGAGCUGCCGUCGGGGAAAACAAACAAAGCAGCGGCAAGGUGGCGUAGAUCCGGCCAUGAUGAGAUUCAAAUCGCAUCCGCCGGAUUGACUGGCGCGGGACCGACCAAAAUGGAUGGCGGAUCCGGCCGGAAAUGGAUCCGGUGCGGUGCGGUGCGUGUAGACUACUCACCCGAGACGGAACGGACGGAAGGAGGGAGGGAGGGAGGUCGCCGGCGGGGAACGAUUCCUGGGACCGAGGAGGUGGAGAGGACGACGAGAUCCUGGAGGCGAGGCGAGGGCGAGGAGGGGGAAGGGGAAGCGCGUGGGUUGUGGUUGACGGAUGGAGUAACCCUAGCGCCAGUGAGGUCGGUUCCAAAAGAUCGGUCGGGCCGGGCUGCGGCGGUGCGAGAUGGACUUGGGCCGCGGCCUCGUUUAGUUCCAUUUUUUUUUUUGCAAAAUCGACACUGUAGCACUUUCGUUUGUAUUUGACAAAAAUUAUCUAAUCAUGGACUAACUAGGCUCAAAAGAUUCGUCUCGUCAAUUUCGACCAAACUGUGCAAUUAGUUUUUAUUUUUAUCUAUAUUUAAUACCUUUUCUAUUAUUAUUAAUAUAUCAAUCAAAAAAAAUGAAACGUAUGUCCUUUUCCAGUUUUCCCUGCCGGUUACGGUGAAAAGCUACGAAUUUUUUUUUAGGAAUGAUGAGGGAGCACUAGCGUGUGGGGCAUCCUAUGUUAAGCGCAUAUUGUAAUGGCACACGUACCAGCUUGUUCGCUCGAGCUUAUCAGCCAAAUCAGUUAGUUAUUUGGCAGUGUUUUUUUCUCACAACAAAUCAACCAAUAGUACAUUCUGUCAUGUCUUAUCAGUCAAACGAAUAAGGCUGCUCAUCAUGUCUAUGCAAUUGGGCCUUGUUUAGAUGAAAAAAGUUUUUGGCUUUUGACACUGUAGUAUUUUCGUUUUUAUUUGACAAACAUUAUCUAAUUAUAGAGUAACUAGACUUAGAGGAUUCGUCUCGUGAUUUACAGAUAAACUGUGCAAUUAGUUAUUCUUUUUAUCUAUAUUUAAUACUUCAUGCAUAUGACGUAAGAUUCGAUGUGAUGGCGAAUCUUCAAAAGUUUUGGGUUUUUUUGCCUUGGUAGUGUUUGUUGGCCGCAACCAAAUCAAGCAACCACUGAACCACAACUAGUGACGUGGGCUGGACCCACCUGGCAGUGCCCGAGUAGUUUACUUGCUUCUAUGAGAGAAACCAAAAGGUCUGUUGCACUACUAAGGGCCUUUUUGCUAGGAAUUCAAGUGCUCUGGCUUCAAUUGACAGUUUUAUUGUAGCACCACUAUUUACAUACUGUUUAUGGAAACUAUUUUUCUCUCUCCUUUCUCUCCCUCUCACAGAGCUAGCGAAGCUAGUUUUUUUGGCUUCAAAUGCUCACAGUGUCUCAACAGUCAACAGUAUGGGAGUGGGUUCCUUACCAAAGGGGGCCUAACAGUGUUUCCCUCUCCACGAACGAAGCCAGCUCAAAAUACACACUCUAUUGAAUAUAAAAGGAGUACUUUUCUAAAGGAAAUGUAUGGAAAAUUUGAAAUAGGUAUUAACAUUUUUUAUUUUACCCUGGUAUGGUACACGUGCACCACGAAAAGCUAACGUGGCUUCACUCAUGUUUCUCUCAUAAAAUUUUAACAUAAGUAUCAGCAUAAGCUAAAUUUCAACAAAACAACAGGUAACGUGGGGAGGGAGGAGUUAUGCUUUUAGAUGGGCAGGUCAUUUAUUUAGUCCCCUAAACGGACUAGUCUAGUUAAGAAAUUAAGAGUAUUACCACUUAAAAUGAGUUGCACUACUAUGAUGAAUUAGGUUUAAAAAAUCUAUAAGUUUACAUGUUUGUGUAAUACUCUUAUUAGGGUAGAGAAAUCGACCUAUGCUUGUACCCUAAUAUAUUAAAAAACAAAUAGAUUUAGGGUUUUAGGUACACAUUGCCAUCUCUAGGUGUGGCACUAGGUGACGAGAUAUUGACAUAUUCCCUUCGUCUUAAAAUAAACAUAUAUCUCGUACUUUAAGGAGUCAAACAAUCUCAAGUUGACUAGAAUUGUGGAAAAACACUAUUAACAAUUGUAUCUCUAAAAGCUCGUUCAGAUCCAUUAGCUGAUAACAGUUAUAGCUAGCUAAUAGAUUGUAACUAUUAUUAGCUACUUUGGUUCAACCAGUGAAAUAGUUGUUUGUUGAGUAUUUAGCUAACAAUUAGCUAGACUUGUUUGGAUCAAAAGAACUAAUUAUUAGCAACUAACUAAUCUCUCCUUGAACAAGGCCUAAAUAAGAUUAGAUGAAAAUAUAUGUUGUGAUUAACCUGCUUAUUUAAUAUUACAAAUGUUAGUAUUCUUUUCAUAAAGAUUUGGUCAAACUGAAAUUUAUUUGACUCCUUGAAAUGUGAUGUGCGUCUCUCCAGCCAAAAAUCAAAUGGUUUUGCUGCAAACUAUAGAGAGCCUUUUCAGUAAUGGGCCACAUGAAUCUCAACAUGGACCACAUUUCACAGUAGAAUUCAAAUCCUUAAAAUUUGGAUUUAGAGCGAUCGGUGUGGAAGGUUAUCCAAAAAAAUCUACCGGGUCAGGCUGCAGAGCAAAGCUGAUGAGGCCAGAGGCCCAACAUUGAUUGGAAUCAUCAGUGAUGUCACGUGUGGGCUUCAACUCGAGAUGGACCCCACCUGGCAGUGGUGAAGUAGGAGUAUUUGCUUGCUUCUAGUUAUACGGCUCUUUUUUUUAUUAUUGAAAAAGAGUUCUAUUUCUUUUGACCCGACGGAUUUUGAGUAAAAAAAAACUCUGAAAUUUAUGUCUAAUAAUGAGGGAGGCAUUGACGUGGUGGGACUUUGGCAGACCUUAUAUAUGAUGGAUUUCAUUAUUUUUGUUGGCUUCACUCCAUACCUUGGAGGGUCUAAAGAGGUCUAUUUGGGGGUGUGUCGUGUGAAUGACAGGUUUUUGAAGAAACCACAAACUGUCAGCAUUGUGUGACCGGGGAUGCGAGGAAAUUUGAGACGUGUCACUUACGAGUUACGAUCGAGAGAGUGUAUUAAUUUUAUUCUGUGGUAGGUAGAGGUCAGGCCUUGUUCAGUUCCUAAAAUUUUUUCCGUCAUAUCGAAUCUUUAGACGCAUACAUGAAGAAUUAAAUAUAGAUAAAAAACAAAAUCUAAUUGAAUAGAUUGCUUAUAAUUUAUGAGACGAAUUUUUUAAGCCAAAAAAAUCAUGAACAAGACCUCAUUAGGUAGUUGCAAUACACAUGUCACAUUGUGGAGGAGCCGCCGGGCGGGAAGAGAACAAGCGAAAACAGCAGAGCAAAAAAUCAUGAAGAUGUGGAUACAAUAAUGUACGUAAUAUACAAUAAAUUAAAUCUUGAAAUCAAACUGAAUGUAUAUUCAGUACAGCUUACAGAGUGGUGAUCGUGAUGGACAACCAAUCAGUUUGAGUGUGUGUAUGAUGAUUCCCUCUCUUUUUUCUUCCUCUCUCUCUCUCUAUAUAUAUAUAUAUCCAAAUAGGAGGAGUAUUAUAUCCAGUAGUACAAUAAAAGAAAUAAUAAGAAAUUAAUUAAGACGAGUUGGCGGCGCCGUUGGCAACGACGACGACGGGGUAUCCGAUGCCGUGGCGCCUAGUGGGAAACGCGACGAAGAGGAGGCUACAGAGCACGCCAACACCGAGCGGCAGGACGUCGAUGAGCUCCUUGGUCUCCCUGCGGGGCGUGGGGCCACACAGGCACGCGACGACGUCCCUGUCCCUGGCGGCGACGACCCCGAAGACGGCGGCGGACAGCGCGGCGUGCACGAAGUCGAUGAAGGCGAGCCUGUACCUGCAGCUAGCCGUCGUCGUCGGCAGCGGCGGCGCGUCGGGCGGGUAGUCGAUGAGCCAGAGCCCGGUCCGCGUGGCGACGCCGUAGUAGACGUGGCCGUCGUGCGGGGAUUUCAGGGAGUCGGUGAAGCACGCCAGCGCGCUGGCGAGCGCGAGGACGGCGAGGAGGCAGCGGGUGAGGAGCGACGUCGUCGCGUCGCAGGCGCCGUGGUUGGUGAAGGUCGGGGCCAGGAGGUUGAAGGCCAGGAGAGUGCCGGUGGGGAGCAGGUUCGCGAGGUUCGCUGUGGAGGCGAGCGCCUGGGACAGCGCCGACGACGUUUGAGGAGGAGGUGGCGGGGGUGCCUCGCCGGCGGCGGCGGCGGCGGCGGCUUGGUCUUGUUGCUGCUGUUGUUCGUCUUGGAGGAUGAUCGGUUGCUGCUGCUGACCGUGACCUGCUGGCGCCGCGGCGGCAGAUGGCCUCUGCCGGACCGAGGCGGAGGAGGAAGAAGAUGCCAUAUCAGGAGGCAGGCAGGGCAGGGGGAGCAGCAGGAACACGACGACGUGGAUGAUGCACGCAACGCAACGCGUAGCAGCUUGCUUUGCUUGCUUCUUCUAUUUGUAAGGAACGAAUUUGAUUCAUGGAUGGAUGAGCAAAUUAAUAAAGAGAGAGGUUGUGGAAUGCGUCAAGGAAAGGAAUACGCCUACGCGUGUGGCGGGAGAGAUUGCUGUGCUGCUUCCUGCAUUCCGUGUGUGUGUGUGUACGAGAUGGGUUAUAUAUAUGUCGGUGCCUCUCGUACGCAUGAUGCUUCUUGAGAUAUAAUAAUACAGUGCAAACUUGUUUCAAAAAAAAAAAAAAAAUACUCCAUGAUGCUCCUUCAACUGCUCCAUGUGCCAUAUAUAUAUAUAACAGCUUCAAUAAUUCAUUCGUUCGUUCAAAACCUAGCAGAGGCUCCGAUCCAGAGCAAGCCAUAGGUUACUGAAGCCGCUGAGACCUGGCUGAAAGUGACCCUAUCUAUAUCACACACAAACCGUCAAAAAACUUAAGAAUAAAGGACGUGGCGAGCGUGAGGUUACAAUGUAGAACAACAGGGGAUCAAUUUGUGGCUCCUCCGAUCCGCCACCGUACCCAUCGACACUGUAGUACAAAAAAGUUGUCGAGCUCAAAGCGACGUAUAACUUACUAAAAUUGUUCAAGGUCCCAAAAACAUGUUUUCAUAUCUUAUAUUUUGAAAUUCAUUUUUUUUCUCAUUUUUUUUUUCAAUUGACAUAAGACGGAGAAACACACUACACAAAAGUUGCUGUGGUAUAUUAGAUCUUAAGACUUUGUAGUCAUUUUUUUUUAAAAUCAUUUAGGAGAUAAUAUUCAAUUCAAGAUUUGUAGAAGUUACUCCGUGAUGUAGUGGUAUGGGAUGAUUGCGCGAGGUAAGAUUGAGUUCAAAUCUUAGGAACCUCAUGGCGCAUGUGGUUGUGAUGCUUCCCUAGUGGGCUUCUCUUGGGAUUAGUUUUUUUUGUUUCCAUCUGAUUUUUAAUUUUCCCAAAUCAUUUUUAGAGACAAACCAUACUACCAACCGCCUCUAUAAAAUCGAGAUCUGACCACCUAUAAAAAGCAAAUUUUUGGAUAAGCAACAAUUUUAACCUUGUUCAAUUUGGCAUGAUUUCAAACGGUUCUAUCUCCUACGAAUCUCAUACAUUGUACUUCCUGUAUUCCAAAUUAUAAGGCAUUUUAACUUUUUGGAGAGUCAAUGAUCCAAAGCAUCUCAAGUUUGAUCAAAAUUUAUAUAAAGAACUACAAAGAUUUAUUAUUUCAAAUAGGUAUGUACUAUGAAAAUAUAAUUAAUAAAAAAUUUAAUGAUACUUAUUUAGUAACAUAAAUGUUAUUAUUUUAUCAUGUAAAUUUGAUCAAAAUUAAGAUGCUUUUACUUUCAAGAAACUUAGAAUGAUUAAAAAUUUAGAAUUGAGGGAGUAGCAGUUAUCUUUUUUUCUCUACCCCUUCCCAAAAUGAACCGGAAACUAGUGAAGCCGAAGAACUAACUUCAUCCACCGGGCCUGCUGCCCCUUUCCUCCAUAUAUCUCUCCCGCAUGGCCCGCUGGACCAAAUCUGAACGCCCUUGUAGAACUUCUGAACUUGUUAACUCUUUCUUGGCAACCAUGUUUAUAGAAUUAGGAUAUUACUGCUUUAAAGAAAGAUUUUCUAACUAGAUAUCUUCACAGAAUCUGAUUUGAGAACGAUCCCUUAAUUUAAAUUACUAGCCUUCUGAACUAGUCCUUUAUUGGCAUUAAACUCUUCAAAAAUGUGAAUCCCAGUUUUCUUACAAAAUUAGGUUAAUGCCUUAUUUUUAAAUAUUUAUUUCGAGGAAGCUCCCCCCAUAAUCCCUCAUCAUACACCCAUGGCCGACUACUGGUAGCACUUCGGAACAUCGCUAGUGCUUUUGUUCUCCUUCGGUAAAGAGGCAACUGAAUGUAGCGGUGGUUUGCUACCGUUUUGGCUUGUUAUUUUUAUCACCUACAGUUUAUUGUCUAUAAGAAUGUCAUCCCUCUCAUAUCUAAAAUUUAUGAUUUGGGUAUAUUUAGUCUUAGUUAAAUUGUGGUCUUAUUUAUGUACUUAUGGUGAUGGUAUUAUUUUAUAUUGUUAUUUAUGGCUAGCCCUCAAACCUAAAUUCGAAGUUGGAGUAUCAUUGUGAUAUAUUAAUUUUAUUGCAACAUGCCAAGUGCAUUGUGUCGAUGGAUUUAUGGGACUGGAGCAAAAACAUCCUUGCAGACUUGGAGAAGCGAAUUAAAAGGGCAAGGAGAACUCUUGAGGACAGAAAGGAGAUCGAAGCACCAAGUUUUUUCAUUAGUAUGCAUCUGAAAGGAAAAGAAUUAAUAGAAUAAAAAAAUUUAGUGAAGGAGGAUGGUACUGUGGUGGAGGAGAUGGCUGGGCUGAAACUGUUGAUCACUAACUUCUAUAAAUCUCUAUUUCAAUCCCAUGCAGGUGAUCGCUUUGACGAGCUGUUAAACCAGGUGCAACAGAAAGUGUCUUCUGAAAUGAAUGAUAUGCUAAUGGAAGAAUAUAUUGAGGAGGAAAUCAAACAAGCUCUAGAUAACAUGGGGGGUCUGAAGGCACCAGGGGUGGAUGAUAUGCCUGCUCUUUUUUAUAAGCAAUACUGGAAUAUUGUUGGAGAGGAUGUGGUAAGGGAAGUAAAGGCCUUUCUAACUGGGGGCACAAUGCCAAAGGGCUGGAACGAAACUACAGUUAUCCUGAUUCCAAAGUUGUAGAAUCCUGAAAGAUUAAAAGACCUUCGACCAAUCAGUUUAUGCAAUGUUGUAUACAAAAUUGCAUCCAAAGUCUUAUCAAAUAGGUUGAAAGUCAUCUUGCCAGAGGUUAUUUCUUUGAACCAAAGUGCUUUUGUUCCUGGACGGCUUAUCACAGAUAAUAUCUUGCUGGCCUAUGAACCGACACACUAUUUGCAAACAAAAAAGUCUGGAUCAGAUGGUUAUGCUGCAGUGAAAUUGGACAUGAGUAAAGCAUAUGAUUGCGUUGAAUGGUCCUUCUUGGAGAAGAUGCUGCUCAAGCUGGGUUUUCAUGAAAAUUGGGUUCAAGUUAUUAUGAAAUGUGUUUCAACGGUCACCUACCGUAUUAAAGUUAAUGGUGAAUUAUCUUAUGAGAUUAUCCCUAAUAGAGGUCUUAGUCAAGGGGAUCCUCUCUCUCCUUACCUGUUUUUAAUUUGUGCUGAGGCAUUCUCAUGCCUGUUAGGGGCAGCUGAAGGUAAUGGGGAGUUGUCUGGAGUUAAGAUAUGCCAGCAUGUGCCGAGUAUAAAUCACCUUUUGUUUGCGGAUGAUUCUCUGUUACUCCUGAAAGUUGAUGAAUGGAGUGCAACUCAUCUGCAAAAUAUUCUUUCUUUGUACGAGGAUUGCUCGGGGCAAACGAUUAAUAAGGAGAAGUCUUCAGUGAUGUUCAGUAAGAACACCAAAAGUUAUGAGAAAAAUCAGUUCAUGGCAUCUCUGGGAAUCACAACAGAGGCACAAAAUGAGAAAUAUUUAGGACUACCAAUGUACAUGGGAAGGUCAAAGAAAAGAACUUUUGAGUACUUGAAGGAAAGAGUUUGGAAAAGAUUGCAGGGAUGGAAGGAGAAACUCUUGUCAAAGGCUGGUAAGGAAGUUCUAAUCAAGGCAGUAGUACAAGCUAUUCCAAGUUAUGCAAUGUCAUGCUUUGAUCUCACAAAAACUCUGUGUGAUGAGAUUAGUAACAUGAUAGGCAGGUUCUGGUGGGCUCAACAGGAAAAGGAAAACAAAAUACAUUGGUUAUCUUGGGAUGUACUUUGCCUUAGAAAAGACAAGGGUGGUUUGGGAUAUAGAGAUCUGCACCUUUUUAAUCUUGCAAUGCUCGCAAGGCAAGGGUGGCGUCUCCUGUUAAGUCCAGAAUCUUUAUGUGCUCAAGUCUUGAGAUCUAAAUAUUAUCCUGAUGGUGACCUUUUGUCAGUUGUGGAGAAACCUGGUAUAUCUUACUCAUGGAGAAGUAUUAUACGAGGGGUGCAAGUGCUAAAAAAUGGUUUGGUGUGGAGAGUUGGUGAUGGUACUCAGAUUAAUAUAUGGCUGGAUCCUUGGAUACCACAUGGUGUCACUAGAAGACCCAUUACUCUAAGAGGGCAUACAAUUUUAAAUAAGGUAUCUGAUCUGAUUGACCCGAUUUCUGGUGAAUGGGAUGUUUCUUUGAUAAAUAAAAUUUUUUGGGAGGAAGAUGUGGAACGCAUUUUGGCCAUCCCACUGAUAUAUGGUAUGGAGGAUAGUUUGGCAUGGCACUUUGACUCAAAAGGAGUUUUUCUGUUAAAUCUGCAUACCAUGUCUUAUCAGAUAAAAAAGAACUUUCAAGAAGAAGAUACGUGGGUGAAUCUAGUACAAAUCCUAAUACCUCAUGUCUUUUCAAAUGGAGUCAGGUCUGGAAUCUUGAAUGCCCACCAAAGGUGAAACAUUUUUUUUGGAGAUUUGUACAUAAUAGUCUUCCUCUACGUAUGAAUAUUCAACGUCGGGGAAUGGUAUUGACACCAGGUGUCCAGUAUGUUAGCGUUUGAAUGAGGAUGGGGGACAUUGUUUUCUCAAGUGCAAGUUUGUCAAGAAAUGUUGGAGGACAAUUAAUUUAGAGGAAAUUCGCUUGUGCCUAGUUGAUCUGAACUCAGCCAAACAGGUGGCCUCUAAAAUUCUUUCUUUGGAUGAUGAUAGGAAAUCUCUUGUGGUUAGUCUUCUAUGGGCAUGGUGGGAUGCACGAAAUAAGGCGAAUGCAGGGGACAAGAUGCUUUCCACUGAGGAGAUAAUUUAUAAAGCCAAAGCCUUGAGAUCUGAUAUAAUCUUAUAUGCACAGAAGAUGCAGGAUAAGGAAAUCAAAUUGAAAUCAGCUUGGACUCCACCACCUAGUGACAUCGUGAAGAUUAAUUUUGAUGGGGCUUUUUCAUAGGAAGAGAGGAAAGGUGGAUAGGGUUUCAUUGUGAGGGAUCAUGAUGGUUUAGCAAUGUUAGCCGGUGCAGGGAGAAUACAUUUUCUGCAUGAUGCCCUUAGCGCAGAGAUCCAUGGUUGCCUUGCAGCUCUUUUUGCAGCGUUUGAUCAAGGGAUGUCUCAUUUUAUCUAGAAUCAGCUCAACAGUUCUUGCACGGGCGCUUCAGUCUAAUGACUAUGAUUUCUCGGCUGCUGGUGUUCUCGUUAGAUAAGCAAAAUUUCUUAUUUCUAUGAAUUUUGUACAUGUAGAUGUGGUCCAUGCGCCACGAUCUUGUAAUAGUUGUGCUCGUGAACUUGCUCGUGUUGGCUUGAGUUGGGACCCAAAUCAAUCCUAUGUCUGGACUGAUCCCCUCCCAGAGUUUGUAAUCUCUUGGUAACUCGGGAUUCAAGUGAACUUGUGAGAAGGCAAUAAAAUGAUUGCUUUGUUUCAAAAAAAAAUAUUACUGCAAAAUAUUUAUUUUUAUUUAGACAACGGAAUAAAUUCUAGUUCAGACAUGGUUCAGACCAAACUCAUUAUUUUAUAUAUAAAAAAGUGUUCAUAAGCUUGAUGAUAAAAUAAAGCAAUCUGAUUUUUAUAUGCAUACAUCAAAGAAUAAGAGCAAAUCAGCAGCUAAUAGUCCUAGUAGAUGUGCUUUUCAGGCAAGACUUUGUGGUUGUGGAAGCUAGCUAGGCACGUCGUACGAACCCGUCCAAUAAAAGGUUGGUGCAAAUGGUAGGCGAGGUCCAAACUCUAGCUAGAGUAGCUAGUGUCCAAGAGAUGGAAUAAUGUAAUUAAGGCCCUCAAAAUAUAUUGUUCCAAAAAUAUGUACAUUGUUUGUAUUGACAUUAUUAAGGCAUGCUGGCAGGCGUCUACAACUAGCUAGCACACGCCUACUUUCACCAAUUUGCUGCUGACCAGCAUUGUGGUUAACUGAAAUCCGGUACGAUUGGACCCACGUCAUGCCAACUCUUUUGGUUUGUACUACCUACCUUUAGGGUCUGUUUAGAUUGGGGAUGAAAAUUUUUUGGGUGUCACAUCGAAUGUGUCGGAAGGAUAUCGGGAGGGUUUUUUAGAAACUAAUAAAAAAACAAAUUACAUAGUUCGUCAGAAAACUGCAAGACAAAUUUAUUAAGCAUAAUUAACCUGUCAUUAGCAUAUGUAGGUUACUGUAGCACUUAAGACUAAUCAUAGAGUAACUAGGCUUAAAAGAUUUGUCUCGUGAUUCUCAACUAAACUGUGUAAUUAGUUUAUUUUUUUAUCUACAUUUAAUGUUCCAUGCAUGUGUCUAAAGAUUCGAUGGGAUAGAUGAAAAAUUUUUGGAUGAGGAACUGUCAUCAUGUGGAAUGGAGUCAACGCUAACCAGAACCACCGAGCUAGAGAUGCCGCCCCAGCUGUGUGUUGACGACCAGCAGAAGAUGAUAUAUAUCACGUCAGGUCGAUUAGGUGUUAAAUUUUAGACCUGUUUAGUUACUCAACCAUUUUACAAAAUGGUCAAGAUUUCCUAUUAUAUCGAAUCUUGCGACACAGGUAUGAAAUAUUAAAUAUAGAUAAAAAUAAUUAAUUGCACAAUUCGUAUGUAAUUUGUGAGAAAUUUACAAGAUGAAUCUUUUGAGUCUAGUUAAUCAAUGAUUAAAUAAUAAUUAUCAAAUAAAACAGAAGUGCUACCGUAGAUAUUUUACAUUUUUUUUCGCAACUAAACACGACGUUAGCAAUCACCAAACUAGCCUUAUUUAAUUUGUGUCAAGGACCUAGCUAGCCAGCUAGAUGAUCGUGUCAUGCUUGGCCACCGGACAGCAAGGUCCUAGUUACUAUCUUCUUGUUCUAAACAUAAUAAAUCCAUUUUUGGUUUGGCGUAAGUCAAACAGCUAAAGUGACCAAAUUAAUAUACAAACACACAAAUAUAUAAUAAGAUGAAUGUUUAACAAUAUUCUUUGGCAAGCAUCGAUCACUAUAUAAUAUACAGUAAGUUUGUACUAGGUGUCAUGGUUUUCAUAGCUUAUUAGACCAACAGAGUAACAGCUAGCUGUAAGUAAUAAGAUCCCAUCCUUAAGAUAUAAUUUUCACAAUAAUAAAUAAAUUUCCUCCAUAUAUCUCAAAGCACAUGUAUGUCAGUUAGUAGUGUAUAUAUUAUUCAAAAUUUACCCCCCUAUGAUUGUACACUCUCUUCUCUGCUCUCUACAUUAGAAAUUACAUUAAACUCACGCUCCAACCUUCUAAGAGCAAGUUUAAUAAUACAACCCACUUGCUGACUGUAAGGUUUCUUGCAGCCUUCUUCUAGCCCAUCCAUACAAUAGUUAGCUAUUCACUAUUAAUACAUGGUCCACUUAUCUCUCACACAAAGGUUCUUAGUUCUGUGUCUAAGUUGGCUGUAAGCUUACAACCUCUUCUCUCUCAUCUCUUCUCUGCUACAUCUUAGCAUUUAGCCGGCUUACAGCCCACUAUAAUAUUUGCUCUAAUCUAGACCAGAUCAAAUUGAAAGCGAAACAAAAAUAAAUACAUGGCGUCAUCAACUCCCCUGCCUUAAAAAAUCCAGGCCGUUCGUCGCUGAUCCGACGUUCACAGAGCGCGCAAAUUCUGCUGCUAAAUUUAGCGCGCGCGCGGGAUCACCGGGCGGCGGGCGCUGCCGUCAUUCCGUCGUCCGCUCGGUGCAACCUGCUACUACUCUACUAGCAUAAAUCUCAGUCGUGCUUCUUGGAUCUCCCACCCAAGAAUUCCUCGCAACCCAACGAAGAUGACGAUGACCAAGAUCAAGUAGGAGGCGGCGUCAUCAGCACACAAAGGCAGGCAAGCAGCGCGAGCGGGCAGUCCAAAGAUUCCGUCCCAGAACACCGAGGGCGCUCUCGCUCUCGCUCGCCAGCAGAGCGCCAUGGCCGUGUCGCCCCGCGCCACCACGCCGGAGGAGGAGGAGGAGGAGGAGGACGACGGAGACGACGGGUUCACCUUCCCCACGCCGCCACCGCCGCCGCCGCAGCUGCUGGGCGCCGGCGGCGCGCGCGGCAGGGACUUCCUCCACCUGGCGCCGCCUCCGUGCGCGGCGUCGGCGUCCUCGUCGCCGCCCGUGUGGCUGCUGCUGUCGUCGUCGUCGUCGUCCCCGAUCCGCCGCAGCUUCUCCGCGGCCGACUGCGCCGCGUCGCCGUGGCGCGACCGCCGCGGCCUCAACGGCGGGGGCUCCCCCGCGCUCAGCGACUACGCCGCGGGCGCCGCCGGCUUCUGCGACGAAGGCGAGGAAGAGGAGGAGGAGAGGAUGGACAGCCUGUGGGAGCACCUGAACGACGACGACGCGGCGGCGGCGGCCCGUGGCGAGGACCUCUUCUUCGGGCGGUCUCUCGACGUGUCGCGCCGCCGGUCCGUGGCCGGCGCCAACGCCCCCGAGGGGGCGACGUGGGCCGCCAAGAACAAGGACAAGGACAAGGACCGGACCGGUGGUGUUGCUGGCGGCGCGGUGCUCGGCGCGUCCAGGAGCUCCCGGCGGCGGCCGCCGGGGCUGGUGGUCAUGAUGCGCGCGCUCCGGAGGAUGUUCGUGGCGCACAAGGGCAAGAGCCGGGUGCACAGGGACGAGCACAGCACCGCCUCUGCAUCUGCCUAUUCUUUCAGCAGGAAAGGAUGAGCUGCUGCUGCUCUGCUGCAGCUGUCAGCAGAGCACUGAUGGCAAUGCAUUUUUGGGUGCCAGAAACGUUCCAUUUCGUGGCUGGAUUGUUCAGGCCAUGCAAGGUGAUCAUGCAUCACCUACAUUUCUGUUUUGGGAUUUGAUAUAUACUGUACUAAUGUGCAUCGUUGUGUAUACAUAGUUGUGUCUUUUGGUUAAAAAAGAAAGGAACAUUCGUUCUUGUUAGAGUGUAGUUUUUGUUUGCCUGAAUUUUGGAUCGGAGAUGUAUAUACGAACUAGUAAGAUUGUGUUUUUUUAGUGAAUAUAAUUCUACUUAUUAGCUGCAUAUUCAUUUGACUGACUGUUACUGUAACCCACCUAGUAUCAUAUCAGAAAAAACACAGCAUGAAAAAGAUAAUGAGAAUAUGUAAUACUACCUAUGGCCCCUGCAUAUAUAAUUAGCUGCUUUGCACGACUGAAAUUUGAGAUAGGUUCUACAAUUAACCAGCUAGAACGGAACCUCCUGUGAUUGCAUACUACCAAUGUGCAGAUUCUGUAUCCUUCGAGAGGAUAAUGAAAUCUUUGUCACGAGUUUUAUUUUAAGAGAAAAUAAAAAGGUGUGUUAUUCUAGUUUUUUUUAGUGGAAGCCGGAACACGGACUCAAAAACCACACAAUUUUUCAGUUAAAAUUGAAGAUGAAAAGUUAGGCGCAUUGAAGAUGAAAAAUUUAGGCACAAAUCCACUUCCAUUUGCUCAUGGAAGUUGAAUGAUUGAGAGUGAUGAUGGAUUAUAUAGUAGGUCAAAACUAGUCAUCUAUUGGCAGCUUAGGUUGGACUGUGUGCACAAUGGACAAAGUCGGUUAGGCCAUGUAACUGACUGAUUGACGACCUGUCAAAGUAGUUAGCCUGGCCCCAAACAAGCUUAGCUCGUUCUUAUAUCAACUGUGGCUUGAUAAACAAGCACCAAUGCAAUUUGGUAGUUUAGUACGCGCCAACUGAUUGUUGACAUCGUAAUUGAUACUUCCUCCGGUCCUUGAAUAAACCAAUGCAAUUUCUAGAGUUUUUAAGUCUGAAUGUUUUUUAGUGUUUAGCCUUUUACCGGACAACUUUUGUAGAGUAUAGCCUCACUUAGGGUUCAGCAAAUGAAAAAAAGUAGAAUAUUCAGAAUGUAAUAUUUUGUAAACAUGAAUUCAUACAAUCAAAAACAUUUUGGCACGACAAUAACUUGAUCUAGUUCAAUUUUGUAAUAUAUGAGCUUCCAAAGUUUCAAACACAACACCUCUAUAUAUCUCUCUGAAGCUAGUCUGAAAGGAGGAAAGGGAAGAACACUAGGAUAGGUAUAACGUGUAAAACACUACUCCCUCCAUUCUAAAGGGAAGAAGAACACAUUUAGAUUAUAUCAUGUCUAGAUAUAUAAUCAAAACUAUGAAUCUAAACCAAAAUGUCUUAUAAUUUGGGAUAGAGGAAAUACUACAGAAUUCAACUUAAGAGAUGGGCAAAAGUGUUUAAGAGAGGCAGGCACCACUGUUGCCUCUUUACUUCAUCACUAUAAAUCAAGAAAAAGCACAUGCUAUCUCGGUAAAUUGAAAAAAAAUCUUAAAAAGCACAUUGUCCAGCCCGUCAAGCCCAUUUGAGCCCAUCAAAGCUGGAGCAACCACCGCGCCGUUGCCACCGCCAUCUUGUUUAUAUUGUAGCCAUUGCUUACAUCACUCAAAGCCAAUGUCGUUAUGCCGUCUCCUCACACAUGAUGCUGUCAAUGUUGUCUUUGUUGCGCGAGAGUGGAUCCAGUGUUGGAGAAGCCAUCCGCGACCGAUGUGAUCGUAGUGCCCACAUGUCCGACCGCUACAACCCCUAGACUUGGCAGCGUCACGCUAUCGGCGCCCCGACCUGCCCCUCCCCUUGAAUUGAAUCGAGAGAGCCAAUGAAUAUUUAAUCGAUGAAAUCUAGAAUUGGGAGAGAUAAAGCACUAGGUCUCACCUCUUGCGGAUGGGUUAUGUUGAGUAUUAAACAUAAGGUAGAUUAAACCCCUGUUUAGUACUAUAAUAGUCCGUUUAACCCUCAUCUACGCCCAUUGCACCAUGAGGCCCAUUAACAAAUAGCUGGAUGAACCUUAGAAGGUCCACUUAGGAAGAAGACCUUAGCACCUAGGAAAUGAGCUGAGAGGAUAAGUCACUCGCACCUGGAGGCCUAGAUAGGCCAAGGUGGUUGCCGACCUUGGGAGGUGGCAACCGACCAAGGGCUAUGGCGUGUGCCUAGGCCUUGCUUGGGCUAUGCUUUACAUCUGAAAAUCUGUCAGGCAUCUAUAGCUUGACAUGCGGGCAAAGCCACAGGGUGCCAAGCCCUAUUGGAGGUAUGUUCCCUUUCUCACGUGAGGCCAUGUCGGCCACUCCUAGCAUGAGAGACUCGACUUGUCUAAGCCCGCAUCCACUAUGUGGACAAGUCUAAGCCCGCAUGAGAGACUCGACUUGCAUGCGGCUAGACCCUUGGCGUGCGUCAAACGCCAUGAGAAGGCAAACCCAAGGAAGGUUCAAUGACAUUAGGCAAAACCUGGCAUCAUGUCCAAGGCAUAGCAGAGGAUGUCAGAGGCAAUUGGAGGUUGUCUGCGUGCACUAUGUAAGAGGGAUGGUGCUCGGUGCUGCCACCAACUUGCGAACACAAGGUUGAAAUGUGCCCUUAUGGUUCGAUUUAUGAUGAGUGAUUGUCAACGUGAUCCACGACCUAGGUGAUUUUGAGAUAAUGGUUGAAAGUUUUGCAACAAAUUUGAGGCGCCCAUUCACCCCCCCUCUGGUCGCUGUUUUUGGUCCUUCACAACUGAAGAUUAGGAAUUGAAGCCCUAGAAUCCCCUAAACCAUGUAAUUUGUACUCCCACCACCCUCUGGUAUAUAAGGUUGGGUACGGGCUCUAGUAGAGGGGAGGAAUCCCGGACCAAACAAUCAACCAUAGGAUAGAACCCAUCGAAACCGAUCAAACCCUAGAUCAGUAGCAUAGUGUUCUCCUACAACCUCUCUCUCUCUCUGUUGUAGUAAAUUGAUUGAUCAUUCCUAACAUAAAGAACACCACUGUUGGACAUAGGGCAUAGAUACCUGAACCAAGAUAAAACCCCCUAGAGGGCCAAGCGUUGCCACUAGAGGGGAAAGAUGGGGAUGCAUCAGUGCGAGAGAGGAAGCACAGUCAAUGUAAAGAGACGGGUGGCUGAGAGAUGAAUGCGAUAGAGGUUAGGGUUUGCUUGUGGAAGUUACAUAUGCAAACCAAUGCAGUGGGCUUUGGGCUUAGUCUUUCCUGGUUGAAUUACAUAGGCAGGGGCCAUAUACGAGGAUGCCUUUAAAAAUAGUUUUUUUAGAGGCAGACUUCUUUUUUUAGACUUCCUCAAAAGAUUGUCUCCAUAAGUUCUGAUUUUCAGAAAUAGGCCUUUUAUAAGAGGUAUGCCUCUAAUUCUAGAGGCGGGAGCCUCAAUUUAGCACUAGAUCAUUUAUGAAGAUGGUGGAAGAAAAAUAUCUGCCUCUGAGAAUAAAUUCUAAAAUCAUUUUUUGUAUAGUGCAAGUGUAAAACUUCCGGCGUUGUUGUUCCAUUUCAGUUUGGUUUCCCCUAGUUAUCGGGCUAAAUGGUAUAUGCUAUUUAGCACCCUAAAUUCAGAUAAUAGCGCAAGAAAAGUUUAGAGCUAAAAGUAUAUUACCUUAGCCCUUAGUCUCCACGAAGACAGUCUGGUUGUCGCAGUGGCUAUAUCCGGCUAUAUAUUUGAAACAAUGAUAAUUUUAUUUAAAAAUACUAACGUGCAGUGUGUGACACUAAAUGUAUUAGUCAAAUUUAAAAGGAUUUAAUUUAGGACAACUCUAAAAUCAAAUUAUAUCCAAAUUGCCGUUAUUGGCGUCGCCGUACGUGUACGUGUGCACGGCCACCAACGCGUGCACGUACCUGGCUCUAUCCAGCCACCGUGAAAUAAAAAGAGACGUGCAUCAUGCAUGGAAAUCGUAAACGUGUUUCUCUUCGUGUUGGUCUCGUAUUACGAAGAAGAGAAAUCAAAGCUGUUGCUGUUUUCGUGUCCAGAUCUGUUCUUGACGAUCUCCAGCUAGCGCGCGCGGUAAGUAAUUAAACAACUCAUAAUCAGCCCGGCCUAUAUAUAAAUAUAAAUAUUGGCCUCCCACGCAACAUUGCAAUAAUAUAUCGAUCGAUGGAUGGAUCCAUACCUAGCUUAAUUAGAAGAGUAAAGCGCAUAUAUAGAGGCUAGAUAGCUAGCUAGGAACAUGGCGGCGGCGCCGGCAGCUAUCUCGCCGACGUCGACGUCGUCGUCGUCGUGGUCUGAUCUGCUGCCGGAUCUCCUUGGCCUGGUGCUUAUUCGCCUUCCGUUGCCUGCCGACCGCGCCGUGUGCCGUGGAUGGCACUUGGCCGCGCGCCACCACGUGCGGCAGCUCCCGUGGAUGGUCUUCGGCCGGACGGCUCUUUCGGCACCAUCGGACACGGCGGCGGCGACCAUCCUGCCGCCGGAGAAUAAUAAUGUGACGACGUGUCUUGGUGCUGCCGCCGUUGGUUGGCUCGCGCUUGACUGCACCGACGACGUAUUCCGGCGCACGCCCUUGUGGCAACACUUCUCCAACAACCGCGCGCUUCCUCCAGCCUAGACGUGACGUCAAGCACAGGCAUAGCUAUAUAUCGGCUCUACAACCCCUUCACCGGCAAGACCGUGCUGCUCCCUGAGCUCGACGCCAUCAUUGGGGAGGUGGCCGAGACAUUCGAAAUCCGCAAGGUGCUCAUGCAGAGACCUUCUUCUUCUUCGACAUUAGUAUCAGAUAACGACGACGAUCAACUUCUUGUUGCCAUCACCACCAACAGUUAUUACUACAACAUCAUCAUCUGCCGACCUGGGAAGGGUACCGCCUGCUGUGUGCUUCCUAACAUAGAUGUCUUCGAUGUCGUGUUUCAUGGAGACAGCAGACUCUAUGGGAUCACUCCAGAAGAAGAGUUGGUCGCCUUGGACCUUGCAGAGGAUGACAAGGCCAGGUGCGCCCAUUGUUACUAAAUGUAGGCGAGUCAUCAAAAGACCAUUAGCGGAUGGUGAGCAAGACCACCGGAGCUGGAUGUACGAUGAUGAUAGCGGCAGCGACGACGAUGGAGACGACGACAAUGGAGAUGACGACGACGGAGACGACGACAAUGGAGAUGACGACGACGAGACCUCGAGCCAAAACGGUGAAGAAGAAGAAGAGGAUCGUCAUAGCUUCAAUGUUGACGAUCUUGUUCCAAGAGGUGAGGAUAUAGCUAGCAAAAGCGGAGGACGCUGGUCCCUAUGACGUCGCCAUCACCACCCGGCGACUAGUAGUCCAGUCAUCAUCGCGUGGAGAUGACGGGGAGUUGCUCAUGGUGAGGCAUUACAUGCAUGGAAUCAUCUCCAGGGAUUGGAACUGACACUCUCGAUGUGGAAAUCUUCAAGGCAGAUAUGGAAGCAGGCAACUGGGUUCCAGUCAGCGAGCUAGCUCAAGGCCAAGCACUCUUUCUUAGCCGAUCAUUCUCCAAGUCUAUUCGUGCCUACGGAGAUAUAAAACAGGGCUUCAUAUACUCUACAGAUGCGGAUGAUGUAUUUGAUACCAAAUCCAGGGACUGUAGUUUGAUUAGAUUCCCAAUACAAUGGGAUGGAGCAGCAGAUCAAAUAUUGCUAACGUGGCUUUUUCCACCGGAGCUACAACUUUAGUUUAGCCCACACACACAACUUGACCAGCGAAUACUUUAAUUUUAUGUUGCUUAAGAGAAUGUUUUUUCCUUUGAUGUACGGGGACACCCUUAUUUUUUUGUGUUUAUAUAUAUUGCUAUACAUAUAUAUUUGUUGGUCAAAAUAUAUGCAUGGAUAAAAAAAAUUAGAACAGGUUCUACUCAGGGAUCCCAACAAAAGACCCCAAACCUUUGGGUUUUGUUUGCUCCGACAGUGCCCUAAACGCUCGGUCUAAACACCAUCGUCCAAAACCUGCCAGUCAAAAGUGAAGUGGAUGGAUGCUAGAUAAUUCAUAGAUCGAGCUUGUUCUCUAAUAAACUUUUAACUUUACAGGAUACUCCCUGUUUAUAUUGGCAGGUUAGAUAUUGACCCUGUAAUCCAUUAUAUUGCCUAAGCUACUAACGGAAGCUUUCUGAGAAGCUUAUCAUGAGAUAUAUAUAUUAUUAUUUAUUUUUAUCCAUAUACACUAUCUUUCUCACUCUUUGUAUAAUUUUAAUUUAUCUCUAAAUUGCAAUGAUUUCUACAGGCUAAGUACAACUUUAGGGGGCCUAUGCAGUGCACUAAUGAAAAACAUCAUUAUAAAUAAUCUCUACAACUUAUUACUACGUUGAAUCACUGUCAAAGCAGUUAUCAAUCGGGUAUACGGAAGUUCUGCACAUGACCAUUUUUAUGUUUUAAUUGAAACCUGGACGUGCUUUCUCAUUGUUAUAUUGUUGAUUGAAUCAGCAUGUGCAACAUAUCCAUAUCUAUAUCUAUACCUAAAGAAGUAAAAUUUCUUUGAAUUGAGCAUAGCUCAGCUAGUUGUUUUUUUUUGGUGGAACCUAUCCAUUCACGUUCAAGCCCUCGACUUGACAUGAGAGAUCACAUUUCCUUAUAGGAUUUAACAACGUCAUUCUUUUAGUGGUAAGCAACAUGAUCGUCUACAGUGAGACGUCUGUGGUAACUUUGUCAAUCUUGAGAUUUGACGAUCCAACUCAAUUCUUCGGAGAUACUCACGUGGGUAGGGUGUGCGUGCGUGUGAGCAUACACUUGCCUUUACAUAAAAAGAGGUAAAAUAUCUGGCCACUAAUAUUUUUUGGUCCAACUUCUUGUUCACGAGAAGAAAGCCAUUAUAGAGACCAAUUCAAAAUCAUCAACUUAUGUCUCAUUUAUCACUUGCCAAAUAUGCUUGCUUUCACAUGAUGCUAUGAUAUUCCACAACAUAGAAGCCAUUUUAUAGAUUCCAUUUGCACUGAUGUCUUUUGCUUGAGCUAGAUUAUUUCUAUAAUCCUCCAAUACAACAAUACACAAUUUGGCCUUUAUUUCAACACUAUAUGGCAUAUCAUCAAGUUUGCCUACUUGUUGAGCCUUGAACAUCCUUGUUAAUACACAAUCCACAAGUAUAUGCAAUAGACUUAAUAUCUUGUUCAACAUUUAGCAAACUUAUUAGACCUUUAAUUAUGUUGUCAUUAAAUUUACCAAAACUACAAAGGGCUAGAUGCACUUUCAGCAUAGUAUACUUAUAUGGAGGUUAUUCUAAAUUUAUUAAGAUAUAUUUUUUUAUCUUUUUAGUUAUGAUGAAUGGCGGCGGACUUUUCGAGCCAUAGGAACCACGUUUCCACCACAGUGAUCUUUCAUUCGCGCUAUUGCUAGAUAGGGCCAUUCCCGUCACCUAGACCCAUCAAUAGUGUUGAAUAUUUUUAAGUUUCAUGCUAAUAGCAUGGCUUUCUUUGUGAUUAUUAUGAAAUUAAAACCGACAUCACCUUUAUUAUCCGUAUUGGGGGCAAGGAGAACAAAUAAGGUAAGGUAUUAUAUUAUGUGAUCCGAUCCGAUGAAGUACGGCUGAGUUCACGAAGAGAACGCACCCAAGAAAAGGAACGUACCCAAAAAAAGGAACGUACCCGGUGGAACCGUGUCGAGUCCCAAUGCAACCCAAACCCUCAAUGCAUACAAGACUCCUUGCGUAGAGUAAAAGUAGUCCGUCGUCGUCAUAUAUUAUUGUCAUGAGUCAUGAUCAAAUUAAACGUCUACUCGCAGCUCGAUCUAUCUCUGCAUCGAUCACGCGCGGAAAGAUAUAUUAGAUUGAUUGAUCGAUCGAUGGAUAUCUCCGAUCCGAUGAUGCCUGCACCAGCGGCAGCUAGCAGCAGCGAUCUCGUCGACAACAUCGUCAUCUCCAUCGAUCUCCUUCUCCUCCAUGGUCCGUCCUCCUGCCGGAACUCCUCAGCGAAAUCCUCACCCACCUCCGCCCCGCCGACGUCGCCUGCUUCCGCGUCGUGUGCCGCGCAUGGCAUUCCGCCGCGCGCCAUUACCAGGUGCAGCUCCCGUGGGUCGUGCUCCCCAACGGCUCCUUCGGCACCAUGAAAACGGAGAUGAUGAUGAUGAUGUGAUGUUGGUGGAGGAUGGUGUGGUGAUCCUCAAGGAUGAGGAGAUGCCCCCAUGAACCCAAAGACCACAUUGUCAUCACCAGGCACCUCGUCGUGUCUUGCGACGGCAAAGAGCUACUCAUGGUGAGGCACGAGGUGCAACUACCUGCUGCAUUCCAUCCACCCGCGUACACUGCUCGCAAGGUGGAAAUCUUCAAGGCAGACAUGGACGAUGGGUUCCCGUCGUCACCGCCAACGCGCUAUCUCAAGGCGAGGCGCUCUUUCUCAGCCGAGCAUCUAGCAUGGCCACUCGUGCCUAUGGAGACAUAAUCAAAGAGGGCUUUGUAUAUUUUGUUGAUAUCGAUGAUGCGUUCGACACCAGAUCCGGAACUCGUAGCCCGGUUAGCUUGCCACGGCAGAGACAACAUGUAGAUGGAAAGUGACUCACAUGGGUCUUCCCUCCACAUCUAGUGCUGUAGUAACCCACAAUAAUGCAAGCAAACUCUAUUCUAUAUAUGUACGUUAUUAUAUCUAUAUAUAUCAAGCAACACAACAAGAAAACAUCAACAAUUCGUUUUAUGUUGGCUUGCGGCUUGAUUCACCACGGCUCCUCCAAAGCCCUCCGUGCAGUCUCAGUUCUUGCUGGACGCCAUUGAAACACACCAGCAGCACCAAUAUAUAUAAGAAGUGGGAUAGCUCUUAUUUGCUCGUGUGACGAACAUUUUUUUUUUCGCGAGCGGGGUUUGUGACGAACAUCAACUCCGCGCGGCAGCAGUUGCAGGCACAAAUGGAUAUCAACUCUCAAGCAUUACGUGCAGCUAGCAGACCUUGUGUGACCAGCGCGCUGCGCAGUUGAUGGUUAAACAAAUCGAAACCACUGGAACGUCUCACCUUAGAGCAUAUACAUGGAUGAUGCUGAGACAGAGGACAAAUCACCAAGAUCUCCAGCUCCACUGUGUCCUCCAUUCCUCCCUGGAGGGGGUUGGCCUUUCUCCAGUGGCCAGCCUCAUCCUCGUUCUGAACUCAGUCGCCAUAGACCUUCUGGUGAGUCAGAUCACAACUAUAUAUACACCUCUGGCCAAGCUGUAGAGAAGUAGAAUAGGAGCCAACACCAUUGUGUAUUGACCUCAUUGAGUAUAUAUAGGUUACAACAGGGAGGUUGCCUCUUAGUCCCGGGAAAGUUCAAAACAACAAGUAGAGAUCUAACAUCUAUUGUCAAAGUCAAAAGAAUGACAAAUAUCAUUAUAUUACAAAGACAAUGUAUAAAAGAUUAACUAUCGGCUGAGAGCAAGUAGAGUUUGGCGGUUUAGUGUGCCUGCCAAACUCCGGUACGUGGAAGCUUCGUCCAGCCGGCACCAUCGGCUGAGAGCUUGCCCUUGCAGUCAGCUGGGGUGAAGACGAGCUUGUAGUUCUUCAUGCUGGCGCGGUCCAAGAUAUCCUCUGCAUAGCGUUCCUAGAAGAGGUAGAAGCGAUCCAUGGUGCGCUUGACAUCGAUGCCGAGGAAGAAGCGCAGCUUGCCCAAGUCCUUGACAGCAAACUCGGUGCAUAGGUGUUCGACGCAGCAGGCCGAUGCUCGAGCCGGUGAGGACGUUGUCGUCGACUUAGGCGAUGUCGUGUCCCAACGUAGAACGAAGAACACAGUCUGAAAUUUGUACGGUGAGCUAAUUAUUAUAUAUUUAGUGUAGUAAAAAUUAGAUCAUGUAUUUAUAGAUUUAUUUAGAUUUAACAUGAUCCAAUUAAUAUAAAUUUUUUACUAUAGUUUAAGCAUAUAAUAAUUAGUCCACCGCAAAAAUUUACCACAAUUGAAUUAUAGAAAGUGCAGCUAUAAAUUAUUCUAUUUCAUUAUAGAAACACAUAAAUCUAAAGCUACAAUAAAAAUUUUAUACUAAAAGAUACCAUAUUAUAUGUUUAAUAUAUAGAUCUACUCAUGUCGAGUCCAACAAACACAACUACACUAAUGAUUUUCCAAGACGAUGCCCUUUUAUUAAUGGAGGUGGUCACAAAAUUCGACCGCCUCCUAAAAUUCUGACGAAUUAACGGUGGUAGGCAUUUUGAUUUACGGAGGCGGUCAUUUUUGCUCGUCUUCAAAAUCGAUUUAUGGAGACGAGCACUCUAAGACAACCAUUUCAAAAAAUAGUCUACUUUUAGAGGUGGUCGUCUUAAGGAGCCCACCUCCGUAAAUCGAUUUACGGAGGCAGGCAUGCUAUAAGACUCGCCUCUGAAAAGGUCGAGGCCCAACAGGCCCAGCGUGGAUCGAUUUCUGUGUUCGAGUAUAUAAGACAAACUUAGGUUUCAUCCUCCACCACUCCAUCCCUCUCUAACCCGCUCCCUCCACACCCACCCGGCACCCACCCAUCUCCUCUCUCAACCUCUCGGUAUCACCCGACACCUGACACCCACCCGCUCACCUCGGUCGGCCCCUCACUCGCCCCUUCCUCUCCCUCUGCCAUGGUAGCUCCACCCAACACCCGCCCCAGCAAAGAUUCGGUCCUAGCGGCGGCUACGAGCGAGACACGACCUCCUCCUCCGGCUCGUUGUGGUGCGGGCGACAUGGUGUGGCACGACCUCCCUCCACGGUGCGAGCCCUUGUGGCGUGACCUCCCUCCACCGUGGCGCUUGCAGAUCCGUUGGCCGUGGACGAGAUUCAUGGCGACGAUGACGGAUCUAGGAUGGCACAGGGCCCAGGUUCCUCUUCUCGGCGGUCGUGGCUGAGAUCCACAACGGCAGUAGCGGAUUGAAGGCGGCAGAUCUAGGAUGUUGUGGGGCCCAGCUCCCUCCUCCUGACGGUUGUGGCCAAGAUCCACAGCGGUGACAACGGAUCAACGAUGAUAAAUCUAGGAUAGUGGGGCCCAGCUCCCUUCUCCAGGUGGCUGUGGCCGAGAUGUAGAUCUAGGUGGCGACGAUGGAUCGAUGGCAUCACAUUCAGGAUGGCACGAGGCCCAGAUCGAGGCCCGUGCAACCCAAAUCUUGGCCAUAUGUAGGCUUUUGCUUUUUUUUGUUUAUUUUAAUUGAUUUAUGGAGGCAGACAAAAUACAACUGCCUCUGUUAAUAUGGAUUUAUGCUGAUAUAUAUUUUGUUGAAGGCGGUUGCAUUACCUGCUUCCAAAAAUAAAAAAUACCUGCCUCCAUUAAAUUUUAUGUAGUAGUGAAAAUUAGAUUUUUUAUUUUAUGAUUUUUCUGUGACUUACUAUGAUUUUUCAAAGAUUUAGCCAAAAUAAAUAAAAAAUAAAAACACAAACCACAUUCAAAACUGCUUAUAACAGGACGCUGCAUUGUUUUAAUAUCUUGCAAGUAAUCGAUUUAAGCUAAUUAUCGGCUCUAUUAAAUCGGCAAUUUGGUAGUGUUAUUCAGUAUGCACAUCUGUGCCAUCAUAAAUCUUUUUCUGUCUUUUUCAGACCUGGUUAGUUCAAAACUUUGUCAGGUUUCAUUUUAAAUAUUGUGAUUUUUUAUUUGUAUGUUUGAUUGAAAAAUAUGCACAAAAGUACCGAUGGGCACAAUAAAUGAUUUGACUGCAAAACUUCUCAAGCUUCACUUUUUUUUUAUCAGGCGGUGUAAUGACCAAGUCUUCUCCUGCUCUCUAUGUCAUAUCUUAUCUCAGUUUUGUGCCAG
rnacentral:lncRNA from 1 species